UACAUAUCCUUUAUUAGAGACAACCAUGUGUUUGCAGUUUGCAGAUCAGACGAUAACUUUUCCAAAAGGAAUAGUGAGGAACCUUUGUGUCCGAGUUGGUACCUUGUAUGCCCCAGCAUACUUCGUAGUGGUAGAGACCGGAAAUGAUGAGAGAGCACCCAUCAUCCAAGGGAGGCCAUUUUUGAACACCACGGGAACUAUCAUCUACGCUAGUGCUGCCAAGAUCAGUUUCUACGUCAAAGGGAAGAAGGAAACAUUUUUCUUCAAGAACAAGACUACACAAAUUCCAAAUCAAUCCAGACGUGAAUCAAGGAAGAGGACCAACAGGAGGAACAGGAACAAGCAAGUGUGGACCGAGUCAGCUAAGAUGGUCACUGUAGUCCAUGGAGGCCAAGAUCACCAACUUAAGUCACCGUUUUUGACCAAGAAGGACGACCCAGGAAUGCCAAGCAUUUACUGUUCCAUAAAUGGAUACAACUUCUACAAGACGAUUUGCGACACCGGAUGAGGCGUCAACAUAAUGGCCGCAGUCACUUAUCGGCUCUUGUUCGGGACCAUGCCACUAAGACCAACAUACAUUCAGCUCCAGAUGGCAGAUCAGACAUUUCGAGAAGUUCAAGGAAAAGUAUCUGAUGUCCCAGUAAAAAUAGACGAUCACUUUGUCUACACAGACUUUCAAGUUGUUGACAUGGGAGUAGACGAGUAUUCUCCACCCAUCAUCCUUGGAAGACCGUUCCUCAGCACCGUUAAAGCAAUUAUCUACAUUGGAACCAGAGAAGUCCAUAUGCACUUCCCCUCAGAGAAGUUACGCCGUUAUUUUACUGACCCUAACUAUAUCGUUGAAGAAUCUAAGCAGGUCAGAAAGAGACGCAACCGCAACCAGAGAAGGCAGAUCAUCAAGGACGGAUGGGCAGACUAUGAAGGAGAAGUUGUAAGGUCAGAAGACGUAGAGUUUAAACAGAAUUAUCCAGAUGAGAUUGAAGCACCGAGUCAGGUAUGGAAAAUGAAGAUAACUAUACAAGAAGAGGAGGCACUGCCGGAAGUACCGACUACGCCACCCAACGAACCUCAGGACGAUUAAGAAAUUGGAGAGUCCCGUUCGGAGGACUUAAAAACACCGAACGCCUUGCCAAGAGGUAAACUUGGUAGUUACCCUUUCCCUUCUAGUUAUUUCAAAUAGUUUAUUUAGUUAAUCAUGCUCAUGCUGUCUUAAAAAGAAAAUAAAAAUAUGAAAACAGUAAGCCCCAUGUGAGUAUACGAGUGGCAUAAAACCCAUAAGUACAUUCACCGUGGAGGCAUAAAAAUAAAAAUAAGUAUUUUUCUGCUUUAUAAAAUAAAAAAUAUAAAAACAGGGAGUAAUAUUUAUCAAGGAGUCUCAAGAUAAUAAAGGCUAGAUAUUUAUGCUAACACUUAAUCAGUUCCACAAGCUUUGUUGUCUAUUUGAGCUCCACAGAAUUUAAGAAUCAAGAAGACUAGCAGACGGAGGACAUUCUAAUCGCUGUCAGAAUGCUGCUGACUUUCAAAUACACCUCUGCCACCUGCUAGCUACAUCAAGAGAAAUUACGUCAAAAUUCAGCUUGGGGGAGAGCACCCCCAUUUAUCCCGAUAAGUAUUUCUAUCUAUCUUUAUACUUAUACUAUUUUAGAAUAUUAAAAUACACAUAAACAUGGGAAAACCAAAUAAAGAUUUUAUGCUUAUAUAUGUCUUUUGCUUAGUGUGUGUUUAAUAAAUAAAUAAAGUGGCUAUGCUAAUCUGUAUCUAAAUAAAACUUAAGCAUGGAUAUGAUAAAUAGUUGCUCUGCCUAAUUUGCAAAUUUUAAGUUCUCUCUCAAGUUUAGAUAUAACUGUUAUAAUUUAAAGCUUGCUCUAGACCUAAACUUGUGGGAUGAAAACUUGAUCUGAAGUCUAAGUUGUUAACGGAUACGAUAUGGGAAGGUUGAGCUGCUGUUUAUCUGUUCCUAGAGAUGCUAGAAUUCUGGAGAAUUUUAUCUUUGAAAAUCUUUAAAAUGUUGCAUGAUGAGUUCCUGUAUGAUGAGAGCUUAAAUUCCUACCACAGCCAUAUAUGCAUGCUUGCUAGACUUUGAGCCACACAUUUACUAUUUACUGCUUAUGAGCAUUGAGUGUGGUCAAGCUGUGAAGACCCUUAGGAACUUGUCAUGUGGUUAAAUCAAGAUUUCACUUGCACGUUCACUCAUAUAUGCUACUUCUACUCUGGAAGUACCAUCCACAUAUAUCCAUCCAUUCCAUCUCCAAAACCACCUAAAAAUAUUCUACUCCUAAUCCGGGAGAGAAUAACCAAAAAUAUUUCUGUUUUUCCCUUGUGAAAUAAAUGCUCAAGUUAUCUUGUUACUACCACUUGCUAUAUUAUCUCAAGAGAUGAAUGCUCUGAAAAAAAGGAAAAAUGAAUAAUACGAGGAAAUAAAAAGGAGCAAGUGCUCAGAACCUCGAAAGAAAAGAAAAAGUGAGACGAGAGGUAAAAAUGGACAAGUGUCCGACAGUAGAAUUAGGGGUACAAGAUACCCACCUGAGAGAAAAGAAAAAAGAUAGAGCAUCUCAUUCUCAUCAUAAAGCUUCAAAAGCAAGGAAGGUAUGUAUCCCCUCAAGGAGCAAAGUAGAAUUAGACUUCCACCACCAUUGUUUUCACCAUUGUUAUCACCAUCAUCACCAUACACCAUUCAUUCGCCACACAUGCGCAUCUUGAUUAAACUUAUUGGCUUGUUUAUUUGGAUCCAUGGUUUGACUAUGCAAUAAAUGUCUUGUAAGUAUGUAUACUUUAUCUCCCACCUAUGAACUCCAGAUAUUAAAGCCUUAUAAGAGUAGGGUGAGAGAGAAGGCAAUGUCACUAUGCCUCAUACCACAAAUACCACAUAUCUUGAGAGAAGGCAUAUACCAUCAAUGCCUUGGUAAGGAUCCAAAAAUACCACAAAAGAGAGACCUGAGAGAAUCAUACAAGGAAUCUCUGAGUUUUAUUUGAAAAUCUGCAAAAACCCAGAACUAUAGCUGAUCAAGAAUAACAGACAUGGCACUUGGCUAGACUGUUCUAUCUUUUAACCACUCAAGACAGAAGUGACAGUUACAAGUCGCAUGGUGAAGGUAAAGUAAGUAAGUUUUAAGUUUACUCUAACUUAGAGAUGAGAUCUUAUUUAAAAAGCAUGUGUACCAUCAAAUUUUUAAAAGAUAUUGCAACAACUUAUGAUCCAUAGCUAAGUCUAUCCUUGCUCAGGGACGAGCAAGAGGUAAGCUUGGGGGAGUUUGUUGACGGUCCUUAAGUAUCAAAUUUAAUUAUCAAAUAAAUAAAGAAAAGGAUCCAAAUGGAAUCAAGAUCUAGACUUAGGGUUUUAUCUGACAGAAUUCCACGAGUUUUGGUGUUUGUCUAUUUCUGCAGGGGGUUAUCAGGAAAUAUGGAAGAAAGGCCCACAUGUCAGGAUUACGUAAAGGUAUUAACGUGUUGCGCAAUUAUCUUACAUCUAGAAGACUCCAGAAGCCACGAGACCGAAGCGGAGGCGAAACGGGGCCAGACCCUGGGCGGACGCCCAGUUGGUCAGGGCGCCCGCCCACCUCCUGAGUCCAAUCAGGACUCUGCUUUGCGGGAGAUCUCCACCGACCUAAAGGAUGAAUCUAAACCAUACAAUCUAUGUCGGUUUGAUCCAAGGGCCCAUAUUCACUUGAAGGGAUUAUAAAACCAGACCCCCUGGCCCCUGGAGGAGAGAGCCUCUCAACCCUAAUUCAUUGUUCCAUCAAGGGAGAAGAAGCCUCUGAUCAAGAUUAGAGCCACCACAUCAAUUAGAUAUCUAGAUUAGCAUAGCUACAUAGGAUUAGAACUAGAAGGAGUCAAUCUUCGAUUGGUUUCCGGAUCUGUCAGGAGGAUUCUUGGUAAUUCUCUAAUUGUGUUUCUAAUUGCUUUCUAAUUAUCUUUGUUCUUCAAUAUUAUGAAUAUGACUUUGUUCUACUUCAAUAUAUUGCUUAUGACUUUGCUCUACUUGCUUAUAUUCAAGAUUAUAUUGUUCUUAGUUUAUCAUAGUUAUGUACUUGGCUUAGUUAGAUUCGAUCUAUAUACAUGCUUAGGAUCGUAUAGCGUUUAUCCAUCGGAUCCAUGGGUAAAUGAUAGAUAUUGUGUAGGCGUGGUGCUUAUACCGUAUUUAUCUAUGAUUGUACCCAAUAUGCCAGAUCGUGGGUGGUUCGUGAUAGUGACAGCUUCAUUGAUUCUUAUAUAGUCCCCCUCUCGUGUAUUGGGCUGGCAGAGCAACAUUAUUACAGGGGAGUGAUUGCUAUGUUUCUCAUAUUCCUUGCUAAUAUCACUAUGUAUGGGCGUAGUCUUGUCUCGCAAUGAUUGCUAAGUAUGCUUGCACUAACUAUGAUAAUGCUAGACUAUAUAGUUAAGAAUAACUUAGGGAAUAUUCUUGUAGUUCGUUCUAAUACCAUGCUAAUGACUUUCUAGAGUAUCUAAUUGAGGUGCUUAUCAUAUUUAUUAUGUGGCUAGAUCAGAUUAGUUAUCCUUGUCACUAUUAUUAUUUCAUAUAUCUUUUAUGUGACAUUUAUCCCUGUAUGAAGAGUUAGAUAUAAUGUUCUCAAUUAUACAUGCAAUGAUAGAUGCUCAAUCUCAUAUUCUAUUCUGUAAUCAUUAGUGAUGAUUUCUAAUCCCUUCCUAGUGGUAAAAAUAUAAAUAACGAUACCUGGAAUACUUCCCGGUUAAAAUGCUGCAUCGGUAUUAAUCUGUGCGCUUGCAGAUCCCAUUCAUUAUUUAUUUAGAAGAGCAAUUGCAUAUUUUAAUACCGCGUCUCUUAUAUCAUGCUGGGGAUGACAACUUGGCUUAAGUGGUGUAAGGGAUAGGUUUGGCAUUUUUGGCACCGUUGCUAGAUUUAGAGAACUUAGUCUACUUUUGGUAAUGAUGUUAAGAAUACCCAACAUGGCCUUCACCCACUGCUGCCUAUGAUACUCCGCAAUGUCCUCCCAAUCAUUGCUGUCCUUCUGGGCCUGCUCUAGGAGUCUAGCUUGAAUGCGAAACUUGUGAGCACACUUUUCCGUCUUCUGUUGCAUCUCCUAAGCCUGGUGAACAGCCCCAUCACCUGCACAUAGAUGUCCUCUUGGUGACUAAACAGCCUGAGCAUAGCCAUCAUAGCGCUGAUAGCAGGAAUCGAGCUCUCAAAUCGCUCUCCUCGACCUCGGACCAAUGCACAACCUUCAGCCUGCUUCCACUCCACCGCUGCUAGGUCAGCAUGGGAAUGGAGGCUGCUGGCCCUCCUGUCAGCUCAUCACCAAACCUCUGACAGUUAUUGAGCAGCAUGGCAUGGGCCGCAACCUGAACUGCUUCCCAUGGUGUCUACCCAUCUGAGUUGCAGGUCUAUCCUGUCCAUGCAGGCCUGCCCCCAUGUGGAGGGACAACUCCCUGCGCAGCGAACCACUACAAGUCUCCUGUCAUAUCCACCUCCCACCAGUAGUACUAACGUGGCUCAUUAUACCCCACUAACUGUAGCACCCUCCAAAGUAGGGUAGGAGUGCCAAACUCGCUCAGAAAGGUGUCACUGGGGAGAGGUGAGGCGGGCACGUCCAUCUGCGGAAAGGAAUAACUGUGGGUGAGAGAGGAUUAUUUAAGCAACACUUAUUAGUUAAAAAGGAACGAUAUUGUAAGGGAAGGAGUAGACAGAAUAUAUGUAUGAAUGCGAUAUGAUGCAUGCACAAACCGUACGUCCUCACAAACUUAGAAAAAUAUUAUUCUAACGGAUAUACGGUGGCAUACAUUCGUCUCUCAAUACGGUAACUAUCGAUUUACACGCGCGCUAUUAGAGUACCUGCAUAAAACUUCAUUGCAGCCCAACACUUCCCAAUAUCUCACUCAAGAUAGUAAACUAAGUGCACAUUGUCUAUCCAUACCCCGGCAUGCACAAAUAAUGAUGCCACAUCUACCCGAGAAAUAAAUACUCCCCAAUUAAGUUUCUUUCGUGGUUCCAUGGUUUGACAUGCAACCACUCCAGAAAACCACCGCGAACACUCCCCUAGACCGCCAUUUGGACGAUCAUGCUCUCACAGCUCACACUUACCUGAGCGUAGGUGCGAUGUUGCAUAAUUUAAAUCUAGCCACAUAUGUGGCUAAUUCACAUAUGAAGGCUACCUCUACCAUUAGACCAUAGGGUAGCAUAGCACGGUCAUCACACAUCCAUACCUGAGUACUACCGGAGAUGCAUAAUGAAAACCCCCCAAGUCAGUACUUAAAUAGCCACCUAGAGUCCUUAUAUGGGCAAAGAGGAUUCGACCACUAGCAUACUUUAGGUGCUGAUUUUCACAAUUUAUUUAAAAACUCUUUUGUUUUGAAAUACACAACCGCUGCAAUUUAAUGCUGAACUUGCUCCGAUGCCAGCUAUCAUAGAACUGACCAAAUUAUAAGAGUUCAAGUGUAGAAAUGAUCGAAGUAGCAAUCAAGUUUCCAGACUUGAGCCCAUAUAAUCCCGGUAGUCAACUGAAAUCAUGAAGGAUUUCAAACCAACUUUGCAACAUACCAAGAUCGUAAUAGUUCAAUACAAUACAACGAUUGUUAUAUAGUUCAUUCAUUGCCGACGAAGCGGCACCACAUCGGAGUUACUUAAGUUAUUACAACACAAGUUUGAAGUAGCCAAAGCAACAUAGUUUUCACACACACACAUUUCAUAAGUUCUUGCUACAGCCAGAGUAUCAUCACAUCCACCAAAAGCAUCAGAGAUACGAAGUCGUUAGAGAACCGUGCCCAACGGUUUAGUCCUCAUCCCCAGCGGGAUGAAGGCAGGUCUUGCAGAAACCAUCAUAGAAGAUAUCAUCUGCAACAGGUGGGAAUAAACCCUGAGUAUGAGAAUGUACUCUGCUAGACUUACCCGUCUAACCAAACAUAAAAGACACCAAGGAUCAUGCAAGGCUGAGUAUAAAGUGUAGCUGGCUUGACUCAUACAAUUGCCAAAAAGCUCAUUUGAAAAGUAAACCAUUCUUAUAAGCAUCAUCUUGAUUGUCAUUAGCCUAUCUCUAGAUUAGCAUCUAGACUAAGCACUUCACUUGGUUACUAACAAACAAUAAUAACCAUAUCAAGUUUCAUCAUAAGAUCUUCCUUGCUAUCCUCAACAUCAUCAUUAAGAACCAUUAAGUACUUAGUGAAUGCUAUGUUUGCCGCUGCUCUGUCAAGUUCUCACUAUCCGAGAGAGAUGGCGAUUCGAAUCGAUUCCUAUCCAGUUGUAGGGUUAUUCCUAGCACUCACCCAUGCAUCCCCUGUCGGAGAGCAAAGCGGGUCACCUUUGGUACGACUCAGGAAUCGUGGCUCCGAUCAGCGCCGCAAUCCCAGGGCUGCCACUUUGCCAGUAAGAUUAGGACUUUUUUAUCACCUGCCCUUGGUCUUACGCCAAUGGCCCUCCGCACACCGCACUUCCUCCAGUAGUGCGCACUUUAUACUUGCCGGUCUUCCGGCCUGAGUCAUACUACUAGGCUUCGCGGUCGGAACGAUUUAUCCGGCCAACUAAGACCAGGCAUGCGUUCAACAUGACAAGAGGAUGUACAACAAUCGGUCCUUAGCUGCCACAGACGGAGUUACUACCACCUUGCAAAACACCACCCAGCUUAAGUCGUUUUAAACCAGGUUCUUUCCCACGAUAGCACAUAUAGCCAAUCGGGAUCUGACAACAGACCCUAUUUCGCGCAGGUGACAGGAUAUCACCUGACUUCUUCCGAUUAAAACAUGGAUAAGCUGCUACUCGAUCCUAACUCUACACCAAGGUAGGAUAAGAUAUCUGGACAAGGAAAGAUAUAAUGCAGCGAGGGUUCCAUCACAACUCCUGUAUGUAAUGCAUUAGUAGAUAUAACAUAUUUAAGCAUGCUUUGAAAUUAAAGUGGGAGACUUAAGAUGCUCCGGGGCUUGCCUUUCAUGAACCAAGCAGGCUCGUGACUAGGGCACUCGACUUCCUCUUCGGGCUCCUCGGGUCCUGCUGGCUGGGCCUCCGUCUCCUGGGUGACCUCCGGACCUUCUAGAGUCACCCUCUCGAACUCGAACGAGGUUGUAGUCUCCGGUGCACCUAUUGGAUGCACGAAUGACACCGUUUUUGGGUACGUGUCCAUUAUCGGUAGAAUGCAGGUUGGCAAGACAAAACGGCAGUGCUUGGUCUACAAGAUGAGUUGCCGAUGAGGAUGGUUGCCGAUGGAGGGACGACUGAACAUGACCAAGUCAAUAGGUGAUGAUGUGUUUGUGCCGAUGACUACGACAAGGGAGUCUGCCGACAACGCGGAGGAAGAACCUAAAGGUUGGCCGAUCGGCUUGUGGAGGUGUUCCAGUUUGUCACGGGAGGAUGGUUUUAUGUUUUCCUUAGUUUUUUAGAUCGUUUUGUAUACGGAUUCUGUUUAAUUUGGAAUUCGAAUUCUAGUCAUGUCUGGUUGUAGCUCUACGAACAGGGUAUAAAUGUAGACCCUAAGGCUUUGUAAACAUCCAUCUAUCAAUCAAUCAAACACCAGUUUUUACUCAUAUUCUAGCAUAUACUUUUCGACGACUUGGUCAUACUUUUUCCUUUUACUAUGAGUUCUUAGAAAUUCGUCGACUUAAGCUCGGCAUGUUCUCAAGUUCCGCGUGAAUACCUCUUGGCCGUGGCAUCCGGGCGCAUCGCUGUUGUCGGGACCAAAGUAUUCGAGUUACCACCUUUGUCGAUAGUAAGGUCAAAUCGGCUGGCACGCCUUAACGUUUAAAUCGGGUAUUAGCCCUUUGUGUUUGCAGAUCCGCUUUUGCAUCAACACAUCUUUUGGCACGCCUGGUGGGACCAGAUUCAAGAUUCAAGGUCAAGAUCAACAUGUCGAAUACUGAGUUCGACUUGGAGAACGUUAUCCCCAUGACAGAAGAUAGUCUCAAAGACGAGCAGAAGCAAGCUAUUGCUAAAGCCAUGGAGGAUUACAAGCAGCAAUGCCUGAGGUCCUUCAGCAUAAACAGGAGCGGCGAGGUGAUCCAGAUGGAUACGCUGUCGAUGCCUCGGCAGGUUACUUUUGAAGCCAAUCCUGGCAAACUUCAAGAGAUGGUCGAUAGUGCUAUCAACCGUGCCUUGAUCAACCAAGUUGGUGUGCUGUCCAAUACAGUUUUCAAUGCCGUGGCUAGAACUUUCAAGGAAGGACAAUUGCCACCAGAUUAUGUUGGCCCCUCUCAUCAUCAGCCAGGGUCACCGGUGGUCACAGCUCCAUCGGCUGCAACGGCCGCUGCGGGCACGGAAAUUCCUGUUCCUCCAAGCACGUUAGGAGUCACUAAUGCACGAUCUAUGGCGAUGAAGACUAAUCCACCGACUUCAGAUGGGAAGAUUAAACUUGCUACAGAUCUGUUGGCAUCGGCAAUGUCGGGAUCGAUUCCUCCUCCUAACUGGUGGGGUUAUGGUAUGCCUCCAGAGUUAACACCAGGUACAUCACAGACAACUGAUGUGAGAGGCAAGGCUCCUAUGGCAUCGGCACCCCCAAGCAUGCCGAUGAAUCAGAGUCCCCAGUAUACUACAACUACUGCUGCAAGAAUUUACACUGGGAAUUCUCAAGCUCCAACGUUCCAGAUGCCUAAUGCAUUAGCAGACUCAAUGCUAAUGCAACAAAGGUUUAUGGCUCAGCCAGGGUAUGUCAAUUCAAUGAUGAUGCCCAAUUACCAGUCAUCGGCAGGACCCAUGUCGAUGAAUGCUAAUAGUGGAUGGCUUGGGCAGCAAGUCUUUCUGCAAACACCCCAACAUAAUCAUCAGACUACAGGGUUCCAGCAGGGCCAGAUCUACUCCGGGUUCCAUAAUCAGGGACUACCCAAUCAGCCGAUGAAUCUUGGGCAGCAAAUCGGCGGACAGCAGAUCGGCACACAGCAGUUUGGUGGUCAGCAGGUGGGUGGCUAGAUGAUUAACCCAAUGUUCCAUGCAGAUCGUGCGCCGCAUAGACACGUGGAAGCUUACCAGCAGACGCCGGAUCCGCAACCACCUCAUCGGCAAGAUGCCGAUGCUUAUUGGGCCGAUAAGAUUGCUGAAGUGAUGAGAGAUUAAUUUGGGAUAAAACCUAAAGUCAACACUUACUCUUAUCGGACACCGUAUCCUCCCGCAUAUGAUUUGAUCCUGGUUCCAAAUCGGUACAAGGUACCGGAUUUUACUAAGUUUUCUGGGCAGGAUGACACGUCAACCAUGGAACACGUCAACAGGUUCAUCAUCCAGUGCGGGGAAGCUGGUAACAGGGACGAGUUAAGGGUUCGCUUAUUCUCGUCAUCACUGUCCGGAUCGGCUUUCACCUGGUUUAUAUCAUUACCUCCCAAUUCAGUGAUUACUUGGGCCGAUUUGGAGAAAUAAUUCCACAAAUACUUCUUUUUUGGGGUCCAUGAGAAGAAGAUCACCGAUUUGGUCAAAUUGAGGCAACGCAAUGAUGAAUCGGUUGAAGGUUUUGUGCAGAGGAUACGGGAAGUCAAGAACAAAUGCUAUAGCCUGGUUCUGGAUGAUCGGCAGCUAGCCGAUUUGGCUUUCCAGGGUUUGUUGCCACACAUUAGGGACAACUAUGCGUCUUAGGAGUUUGAAAGCUUAAGUCAUUUGGUGCAGAGGAUUUCUGAUCAAGAUAUCAAGCCAUUUGAACCCAAGAGAGCAUGGAACAAGAAGGUGUCCUUUGUUGAUGAAGCAGCAAGCCCAAAUUCUGAUGAAGAACCGGUCAUCGGCUUGGCAGAAUGAGUGAAAAAAAGAAGCCGAUGUCUUGCCCUUUUGGGCAUAAAGAGCCAGAGAGAUUCGUGUUUGACAUCACUAAGGCCGAUCGGAUAUUUGACUUUCUACUUCAGGAAGGUCAGAUCAAAUUAUCACCCAAUCAUGUGAUCCCAUCGGCUGAGGAGUUGAAAAAGAUGAAGUAUUGUAAAUGGCACAAUGCAACUUCUCACAGCACCAGUGAGUGCAAAGUGUUUAGGCAACAGCUGCAAUCGGCUAUAGAGUCAGGGAGGAUCAAAUUUGACAGCUCCAAAGCUCAGAAGCCGAUGAAGAUCGAUCAACAUCCUUUCCCAACAAAUAUGCUGGAUGCUAAGGGAAAGGCCAAGGUCUUAACAUCGGAAGCAGCUGAAAGAAGUGCAUCGGUGGAUCCUCAGCAUCAAAUCACUACUGCCGAUGCAAAAGGAAAAGGCCUAGUCUAGGAGGGAACUAACUCAGGAAGGCCUCCCCAAUCUGGUACUGUGAUAACUCACAGAAGGCCUCGGGAGACUUGGCAGCAACGUGAGGAUCGGUAUCGGCGCCAGCAAGAGGAUUAUCGCCGGGAAGAAGAAAGACGCCGGCAGGAGUGGAAUCGGCAUAGGGAUCACUGGAACUGUCCGUUCUUCAUCCAUUGCUGGGAGGAGAAUAUCAAGCUUCCAACUAUCAGAGAUUCUCCUGAGUGCAACGGUUAUGAUCGGUAUGAUAGAUCCGAUCGGCGCUAUCACGAAGAUGAUCGGCAAUUUUACGGGCCGAUUAGGGGAAGAGCGUCCCUUCAUGAUCGGCUGGGGGGUAGGCUCAGUGUGCACGACAGGCUUGGCGAUCGUGCUCAAUAUUUUCCGAGGAACCAGGAAGAACUUGAAGAGAUGGCUAAUGCGCGGGUUCCCGAUGAGUUCAUUUUCUGUCGGGACGCCAAUACUUACCGGAUAGAGCCAAGAGAGAAUCAUCGUCGAUCGGUGAGGCAGCAGCAACUUCCUCCAUGGUGUCCAGAGGGGUUAACCAGGACGUAGAAGAGAGGACUGCAGCGCGAAAGGCGAGAAGAGUUAAGCAAGGGCGAGAACUCUGGUCAGUCUGGGGGUCAGCAAUCAGAUCCUAAGGAGAAAGGGCCAUCGGCAGAUGUCAACAUGGUAUUUAUGUUGCCGAUGGAAUUCCUAGCGCCGUCUAGUGAUGAUGAGUUCGAGUUUUCUGACCAAAUAGCUCAGUUGACUCUGGACCCAAUGACCGCCAUCUUUGAAAAGCCUGCCGACAACAAAAGGCAGCAUCUUAAGGCUCUAUUCGUCAAAGGAAGAGUAGAUGGUCAGCCGAUGACCAAAAUUUUGGUUGAUGGUGGAGCUGCUAUCAAUAUCCUGCCAUAUGCAGUGUAUCAGAAGCUUGGGAAAGGAGAACAAGAUUUGACCAAGACCGAUGUGAUGCUCAAGGACUUUGAGGGCAAUGUCUCUCCGGUCAAGGGAGCCAUAUGCGUUGAAUUGACCAUCGGCAGUAAAACCUUGCCGACAACCUUCUUCGUGAUCAGUGGAAAGGGUGCCUACAACUUAUUGUUGGGAAGAGAUUGGAUUCAUGCCAAUUGUUGCAUCCCGUCUACAAUGCACCAGUGCUUGGUUAAGUGGGUAGGUAAUAAAAUUGAGAUUGUUCCAGGAGAUUCUUCUUAUGUCAUCGCAGCGGCAUAGAUUCUUCUUAUGAAAAGACUAGGUGUAUUUCGGGGGAAGCUUGGGAAAAGGAUUUCCUCAAGGUUGCUGAUUAUGAAAUUCCACCGAUCCAAGCAGUCAGUUCUGAAGAUGGUUUUUAGUGGAUAGGUUCGCCGAUGAUGGAAAGUUAAGCCAGGGGUUCACAUCGGCCGAUGAUCUAGUAGAAGUAGAUAUAGGUAGUGGUGAUAAACCUAGGCCUACUUUUAUUAGCGCCAAGUUGAAUUCUGAGUGUAAGCAACAGUUAACUGAUUUGUUAAAAGAAUAUAAAGAUUGCUUCGCUUGGGAUUAUACUGAGAUGCCUGGUUUAGACCGAUCGAUUGUUGAACAUCGGUUGCCUAUCAAGUAUGGAUUUCGGCCACAUCAGCAGCCAGCUCGCCGAUGUAAUUCUAAUAUUCUUCCUGACAUCAAGGCUGAAAUAACUAAACUUAUUGAAGCCAAAUUUAUUCGGUAGUGUCGGUAUGCCGAGUGGAUUUCCAAUGUUGUUCUGGUUUACAAGAAGAACGGGAAGCUUCGGGUAUGCAUUGAUUUCAGGAAUCUUAACAAAGCUACACCGAUGGAUGGCUACCCAAUGGCAGUUGCCGAUCUGCUAGUUGACGCUGCGGCUGGGCAUCGUAUUAUUUGCAAGGAUGAUGUGGUCCGGUACAUGCUGUCUAUGCUGAUCUUGAGUGGCAGGAUCGGUAAAUGGAUUUUGGCGCUGUCGGAAUUCGAUCUGCGUUACGAAUUGGCCAAGGCAAUUAAGGGACAGAUUAUGGCCGACUUUGUAACUCAACAUUGUGGUGCAGUGGAGGCUUUGGAAAUUGUACCCUGGGCGCUCUUCUUUGAUGGAUCCACAUGUGACCGUGGGGCAAGAAUUGGCAUAGUAUUAAUUUCCCCUCGGGGAAGGAAGUAUGAGUUUUCCUUGCCGAUUGUUGCCACGUCGACGAAUAAUUAGGCUGACUAUCAAGCUUUAGUAAAGGGAUUGGAGUUAUUAAGAGAGGUUCAUGCUGAUGCUGUUGAGGUCUUCGGGGAUUCUAUGCUAGUUAUAAAUCAAUUGGCUGGAAGCUAUGAAUGCCGAAGUGAAGUUCUCAUAACUUAUUACGAAAGGAGUAUGCAACUGUUAAAGGAAUUCAAAGAUUUUCGAUUAGAGCAUGUUCCUCGAUUGCAUAAUGAAGAGGCCAAUCGGUUGGCUCGGCAUGCCUCGGGAUAUCAGCCUAUGAUUAAUGCAAUAUCGGCAAUUAGUGUCGAUGAUUAGAGAAAAGAAAUCAUUGAUUAUUUGAAGAAUCCAUCUAGGAAAGUUGAGAGAUGGGUUCGGUUUCAAGCCACCAAGUAUGUGCUCCUCGAAGAUGAAUUGUAUUAUCGAACUACUGAUGGGAUUCUUCUCCGAUGCUUAGGUGAUGAUGAAGCUUAGAGUUUGAUGGGAGAAAUCCAUGAAGGGGUAUGUGGAGCACAUCAGUCGGCUUUUAAGAUGAAGUGGAUGAUUAGAAGAAAUGGAUAUUAUUGGCCAACUAUACUUGAGGAUUGCUUUAAGUAUUUUAAAGGGUAUCAAGGAUGUCAAAAGUUUGGUAAUGUUCAAAGGGCGCCUCCAUCGGCUAUGAAUCCUAUUAUAAAGCCUUGGCCGUUCCGAGGAUGGGCUAUUGAUUUGAUCGGCCAGAUUUAUCCACCGUCUAGCAAAGGGCAUAAAUUUAUUUUGGUUGCCACCGAUUAUUUCACUAAGUGGGUUGAAGCUAUUCCUUUGAAGAAAGUUACAUCGGCCAAUAUGAUCGAUUUCGUGAAGGAACACAUCAUUCACCGAUUUGGAAUUCCUCAAACGAUUACUACCGAUCAGGGCACCAUGUUCACAUCAGGGGAGUUCGAUGAAUUUGCAAUCGGUAUGGGAAUUAAAGUAUUAAAUUCUUCUCCUUACUAUGCUCAAGCUAAUGGGUAGGCCGAGGCAUCUAACAAAGGGAUUAUCAAGCUUAUUAAACGAAAGAUUGAAGAAAAUCCUAGGAGGUGGCAUACGUUGUUGAAUGAAGCCUUGUGGUCAUACCGGAUGGCUUGUCAUGGAUCAACCAAGGUUUCACCUUAUCAAUUGGUGUAUGGGCAUGAUGCAGUGCUACCUUGGGAAAUUAAGGCUGGGUCUAGGCGAAUAUCUUUUCAAGAUCAAUUGGCUGCCGGUGAUUAUGCUACUUUAAUGAUAGACGAGUUGGAUGAUCUAGCAGGACAUUGGCUGAAGGCCUUGAUGAGUAUAGAAGAGAAUAAGAAGAGAGUUACCAGAUGGUAUGACAAGAAAGUAAAGGCUAAGGAGUUUGCCGGUGGAGAUUUGCUAUGGAAAUUGAUCUUACCGAUCGGGGCUAAAAGUUUAAAAUUUGGGAAGUGGUCUCCCAAUUGGGAGGGUCCCUAUCGGAUAAGUCGAUCGGCUCCUGGUAAUGCCUAUAUUCUAGAAACUCUCGAAGGAGUCGAAUUUCCCAGAGCAUUAAAUGGCAAAUAUCUAAAGAAGUAUUACCCCAACAUAUGGGUCGAUGCAUAAAAGUUAAGUGCCGAUAACAUCCCUAUCGGCUGGGUCAAAAUGUGUCUGGGGUCAGACUUAGUGUUUUAAAAGGGUGCCGAUAACAGUCCUAUCGGCUAGACUAAGUAUCAGGAAGGUCGGGAAACAGAAAAGGGCGAACGUGUUGCCGAUAAAGAGCUCACAAGUCUAGCAGCGCCUGGAUGGCUGAUAUGGCGCGUAGGCGGAUUUGGUUAGCGGCUUCUAUCUCUUUGGUGUCUUCAUCGGCAGAGCCUUCCACCGGCUUCAAUUUCUUCUUCAGCUGCAAUGCUUUGCGGCCAUGGACGUUUCGCUCUUGCUCAAGAAGCUUGAUUGUCUCCGGCAGUUGGCUUUCUUCUUGUCGGGCUUGGGACAGGGCAUCCUCUAUUUGCUUGAGUUCUGCCAGCAGAAUUUCUCUUCUUGCCAAUAAGUCAGAAAUCUUUUGUUUCAGUGCAUCUCCCGAGGACUUCAAGGUGCCGAUGUUCUUGUGCUUUUCAUCGGUAAGAAGCUUUUUGUUGACGGUCCUUAAGUAUCAAAUUUAACUAUCAAAUAAACAAAGAAAAGGAUCCAAAUGAAAUCAACAUCGAGACUUAGGGUUUUAUCUGACAGAAUUCCACGAGUUUUGGUGUUUGUCUAUUUCUGCUGGGGGUUAUCAGGAAAUACGGAAGAAAGGCCCACACGUCGGGAUUACGUAGAGAUAUUAACGUGCUGCGCAAUUAUCUUACAUCUAGAAGACUCCAGAAGCCACGAGGCCGAAGCGGAGGCGAAACGGGGCCAGAGACAGGGCGCCCGCCCAGUCCUACUGGGCGCCCGCCCACCUCCUGUGGCCAAUCACGUUCAACCUCGCGGAUUAUGCUCCACCGACCUAAAGGAUCAAGAAUAACCGUUCAAUCAAUGUCGGUUUGAUCCGACGGCCAGGUUCACUUGAGGGGACUAUAAAACCAGAACCCCUGGCCCCUGGAGGAGACACCCCUUGAUCAUUAUUCAUUAUUCAUAGACAGAGCAAAAGCUAGGGUUUAGAGAUGAGAGCUCUCCUCUCUUCUCUAAACUAGAGUAGAUCUAGAUAGUAGCGAGAUGGAGAGCGAAGGAGGAUUAGAGGAGAGUCCGGCCUGUCGGUUCUUCCUCCGGUUGUACUUCGCCAUGAUCAAGCUCUAAUCAAGCUUGCCCAUGGGAUGACUCUGGUAAUCUACUUCUAAUUCAUUAUGCAAUUACUAAUCAUGUAUGUUCUGGUUCACAACUCUUUUGAGUACUUCUAAUCUAUAGGACCCUAUAGGUUAGAGUUGUAGUAUAGGUGUAAGCGUGGUGCUUAGACCUAGAUUACUUGUGGAUAUCCCCUGACUAGCUGGAUCGUGUGGUAGGCCACGUAGGUGACAGUUACGUUGAUCCCCUGUAGUCCACCUCUUGUUAGCAGGACGGGUAGGGUUUAUCGGCCUAUGGAUAAGCAUCCUUUGUGGUGUACUCUUAUCACGUGGUUCGUCCCAGACAUAGACAUACCCCUUUGAAGUAGAGAAACCAUAGUUAUCCUCUCUAUUCUGCUACCAUCGCCCAUAUACUAGAAUUGCUCUAUUCUCUAUUCCCAUAUUAUCACUCACUGUUAUCUUACCUUUAAUAUUGUUCUUAUUCGAUUCUAUCAUCUUUCCUAUUUACACCUAUCUAUCUAUCUUGGUUAAGUUAGAGCGUAGUUGGUUCUUCCGUUUCCCUGUGGAUACGAUAAAACCUUUAACCGGGUAAAAGCUUCAACGGUAUCCGUGCGCUUGCGGAUUAUCUGUGUGCGUAUAAAUACCAUAGUACACUCUAGUGCCAUGCUGGGGAUGACAACCUAUCAACAAGCAUUGUUGGCGCCGUUACCGGGGAAACGGUUGCUGAGUUGAUUACGAACUAGCUUAAUCAUUUUCUAAAAGGAAAAUAAAAAAUAUAUAUAUAUUUUCCUUUUAUCCUUUGCCUCAUCUCUGCUAAUCUUUCUUCUUAUCUAAUCCUUGAUCUCUGGUCUAUCAUGAAUUCAAACAUGUCUAUCUAUGAAUUUCAUAGACCUACGGGCACACAUCUCGAACCACCAAAAUCUUCAAAGCCUAUCAUAGCAUCUAGUUUUGAGAUAGACCCCGAAUACAUAGAAUUUAUUCAAAAACAACCUUUCUCAGGAGAAGGUGAGGAAAACCCAUACACACACCUAAGAGAGUUUUAUCGAGUCUGUGACCUCCUUCGCAUAGAAGGCAUGUCCGAUGAGACCCUUAAAUGGAAGCUCUUUCCGUUCUCUUUAACGGGAAAAGCUAGACAUUGGUAUAAACUCAAAGUAGGGAGUGUUCAUGGAGAUUGGAAGGAGUUAUAUAGUAGUUUUAUUUCUAAAUAUUUUCCAAUCUCCAAAGUGGUGGAACUUCGGCGUGAGAUUCUUUCUUUUAGACAACUGGAAGAAGAAUCUCUUGGCAAAUCAUGGGACCGCUUUAUUAACCUUACUCUCACUGGCCCAAAACUUUCUAUUCCAGAAGAAGUUCUUCUAAUUCACUUUUUUGAGGGCCUUAGUAGGAAAAAUAAGAAAACCCUUCAUACAGCCUCUAGAGGAUCCUUCUAUCACCUAUCCGCUAGUGAAGCUUGGAAUUUGAUUGAUUUAAUGAGCGGAAAGUCUCCUAGCUUUUAUAUCCCUGAGAAAGAGAAAGAACCAGUUCCUAGACAAGAAGAAGAAGUUUCGAUAGCCAGAUUACAACCACUUCAAUCCCAAACUUUAGCUAUCGAUCCUAAACCAUCAAUACCCCAAAAUUCUCCAAGGGAGGAAGGAAUUCCGACCUUAAAUCUUUUAGAUGCUGAUGGUUUAGACUUCUGGUUCUAUAAGAGACCUUCAAGCAGGGAUAAUUCAAAUCAUUGCAAUAAUGUUUCUCUUAGAGAAUGUCCUCAUUCCUGUUAUGAAGAAGUCGAGGAUGACAUAUCAAGUGAAGGAGAGCUAAGCCAUAUUGAAAAUUCUAACACCUCCCCUUUCCUGAUCACAAGUUCUAAAUGGCUAGAAUGUGUAGAAUGGAUGGAUAAGGAAGAAGCCUUAAUGAAUUCUGACUUUGGUUCAAUUUCAAAUGAUGAGUUCUUGACUCCCUUUGAAGAUGGGAUUCAUCCAACUAUAGAAGAGGACAUAGGUGAGACCAAUCCAGGAGAAACUCCGAACAUUCAGAUUGGAGACGAAGAUAACAUUAAUGAGCAUGGAAUUUAUUUCAUAGCCACUUCGUUUACUCCAUGCUCAUAUGCAACAUCUUCCCAAUCUAUUGGUCUCUCCGACAUCACCACACUUGAGAUCUCCAACCCCUCUUCCUUUCUAUUUAUAAAAACUUUAAAAGGGCGGUUGUCGAUGCAUAUGUCUAUAAUAAAUAUUGCAGAUCUCGUUGAGUUGAUCUAGAUAUAGGUUGGCGUCGGAGGGGAAACCACUUCGCCAACAUAAACUGAUGGUUUCCCAAGGACAUGCUUAGUGUUUUAAAAUAAGCAUUGAUCAGAUCGUAACAUGAGCUUUUAAUUAUUUGCAACAUUACCUUGUGUAUUGAGCAUAUAAGGAUAAUUGUAAAAAAAUAUUCCUUCGGGUAUUCUUGUCACUAUCCUUUCUAGGAUUGGAGCAAGAAGAUCGGAUGAAUGACAAGCACAAGGUAUGUCCAACCAAUCAUCAUACAAUAUUGAAUUAAAUUCAUCCAAAUUGAAUUUUGCAAAAUUCAAGCUUGGGGGAGUACUUUACAUAAAAACAUCCUUUGCCAUGUUGCUAUGCUGGUUGAGACAUGCUCAAUUUGUUAAAUACUAAUCACACUACUUCAUCUCCACUUGAGUAGAUCUCUAUAAAUGUUGUCAUGCUACCUUUGUCUAUUUACUAGCAAGUGUUGGUUUGGAAGUACUCGCCAUACUUCCAUUGGCAUUUAAAUUAAGCAUGGUGCUUAGGUUAAAUAGCCUUCCUUAAUCUGAUUAGACAUGGAGUCUAGUUUGGUUAUUGAACUAAAAAAAACUGCUUGAGUAGAUAUUGGUAUAUUUUGUCGGACUAACCCCUACAGAAAAACUUUCAAUAUCGAUUUGGGAAGUCCUGAGAUAAACUCACAUCAGAGACGAAGAGAGUGACACAUGAAGUUUAACAAUUUGCACAAGAAGGACAUAGCUCAUUCAUCAUAGAGAGAUGAUCCAUGGAGGGUGCCACAAACACGAUGCACAACCGCUAAGAAAGGAAAGCUUCCACAAGAUGAUACUGUACCAUCACUCUUCAAGCAAGGUAACAUCUUAAGGUACUUGACUAUCACUUUUAUAAGCUUCUCCUUGGUUCUGGCGUUCAUAUAAAUAAAAGAGACAAACGUGUAUGAUUUACAACUCUAGGUUAACGAACCCAACUGAUUCAACAUGUUUAGUCCUUUAAUCCUUGUUCUUAGUACUACCUCCAUGAUCCCACACUCCUAAUCAUAUGAGCUAAAAUGUUACACAUUCAAUCAUUGAGAGAUAUAAAGAAAAAGACAUAUACAUAGAUAGAUUAUCUUUCCAUAAGGUUGAGCGAUCUGAUCUGACAAAUAUUAUAAGUGCUACACUCAUGAACUUUUCAUCCAUCAACUUUGUCUUGCUCACUAUGCUUAAGGUUAGAGAAGAACAAAUACACUUUUGGUUCUGUUGGUGUUUUCCACCAACAGGGCCCAUGCACUUGAUCUCUGCCUUGUCUCUAUGAGCAGGUACACUACGAGCACAAACACACUGAGCAAGAUAAUGCUAACACCGCACUUCGAACUGCUGGGCAAACGAAGAACAUGGGUGACAUCGUAUUAAAAGGUGCAGACGUCAAGGUCCGCACCUGAAUCAAAUGACGCACCUGAAGAAUGAACACGGUGAGAAGUCUUGUCAAGAAGACUUAAAACAUUGAACCCUCGCCGAAAGGUAAGAUUGGUAGUUAUCCAUAUUUAUCCUUUCUGCAUUCCCUUUUCCCUUUAAUUAUUUACUUUCCUUAAAUAAAUUAUUAGUUAAUCAUGCUAUCUUGAAAAGAAAAUAAAAAUGUUAAAAAAAUACUAAGCCCCAUGUGAGUAUACGAGUGGCAUAAAACCCAUAAGUACCUUCACUGUGGUGGCAUAAAAAUAAAAUAAAUAUUUCUUUUCUACUUUAUAAAAUAAAAAUAUAAAAACAGGGAGUAAUAUUUAUUGAGGAAGCUCAACGUGAUGAAGGCUAGAUAUUUAUGCUAACACUUAAUUAGUUCCACAAGCUUUGUUGUCUAUUUGAGCUCCACAGAAUUUAAGAAUCAAGAAGACUAGCAGACGGAGGACAUUCUAAUCGCUGUCAGAAUGCUGCUGACUUUCAAAUACACCUCUGCCACCUGCUAGCUACAUCAAGAGAAAUUACGUCAAAAUUCAGCUUGGGGGAGAGCACCCCUAUUUAUCUCGCUAAGUAUUUCUACCUAUCUUUAUACUUAUAUUAUAUUAGAAUAUUAAAAUACAUAAACUAUGAAAAACCAAAUAAAGAUUUUAUGCUUAUAUAUAUAUAUAUCUUUUCUUAGUUUGCUAAAUAAAUAAAUAAAUAAAUAAAGUUUGCUAUGAAUCUUAAUAAUAAAACUCUAGCAUGGAUAAGAUGAAUAGUUGCUCUGCCUAAUUUGCAAAUUUGAAGUUCUCUCUCAAGUAUAGACAUAACUGUUAUAAUUUAAAGCUUGCUCUAGAUCUAAACUUGUGGGAUGAAAACUUGAUCUGAAAUCUAAGUUGUUAACGGAUAAGAUAUGGGAAGGUUGAGCUGCUGUUUAUCUGUUCCUAGAGAUGCUAGAAUUCUGGAGAAUUUUAUCUUUGAAAAUCUUUAAAAUGUUGCAUGAUGAGUUCCUGUAUGAUGAGAGUUUAAAUUCCUACCACAGCCAUAUAUACAUGCUUGCUAGACUUUGAGCCACACAUUUAUUUACUACUUAUGAGCAUUGAGUGUGAUCAAGCUGUGUAGACCCUUAGGAGCUUGUCAUGCGGUUAAAUCAAGAUUCACUUGCACGUUCACUCAUAUAUAUGCUACUUCUACUCCGGAAGUACCAUCCACAUAUAUCCAUCAAUUUCCAUCUCCAGAAUCACCUAAAAAUAUUGUACUCCUAAUUCGGGAGAGAAUAGCCAAAAACAUCUGUGUUUUUCCCUUGUGAAAUAAAUGCUCAAGUUAUCUUGCUACUACCACUUGCUAUAUUGUCUCAAGAGAUGAGUGCUCUGAAAAAAAAAGAAAAGAAAAAAAAAUAAACGAGGAAAUAAAAAAGGGGCAAGUGCUCGAAACCUCGAAAGAAAAGAAAAAGAGUGAGACGAGAGGUAAAAAUGGACAAGUGUCCGACAGUAGAAUUAGGGGUACAAGAUACCCACCUGAGAGGAAAGAAAAAGAAGAGCAUCUCAUUCUCCUCAUAAAGUUUCAAAACGCAAGGAAGGUAUGUAUCCCCUCAUAAGAGCAAAAGUAGAAUUAGACUUUCACCAUUGUUAUCACCAUCAUCACUAUACACCAUUCAUUCGCCACACAUGCACAUCUUGAUUUGGCUUAUUGAUUUGUUUCUUUUGGAUCCAUGGUUUGACUAUACAAUAAAUGUCUUGUAAGUAUGUAUACUUUAUCUCCCACCUAUGAGCUCCAGAUAUUAAAGCCUUAUUAGAGUAGGGUGAGAGAGAAGGCAAUGUCACUAUGCCUUAUACCACAAAUACCACAUAUUUUGAGAGAAGGCAUAUACCAUCACUGCCUUGGUAAAGAUCCAGAAAUACCACAAAAGAGAGAUAUGAGAGAGUCAUACAAGGAAUCUCUGAGUUUUAUUUGAAAAUCUGCAAAAACUCCAGAGCUAUAGCUGAUCAAGAAUAAGAGACAUGGCACUUGGCUAGACUGUUCUAUCUUUUAACCACUCAAGACAGAAGUGACGGUUACAAGUCCCAUAGUGAAAGGUAAAGUAAGUAAGUUUUAAGUCUUGACAGUUUAAUCUAACUCAGAGAUGUGACCUCAUUUAAAAGCAUGUGUACUGUCAAUUUUUAAAAGAUAUUGCAACAACUUAUGAUCCAUAGCUGAGUCUAUCCUUGCUCAGGGACGAGCAAGAGGUAAGCUUGGGGGAGUUUGUUGACGGUCCUUAAGUAUCAAAUUUAACUAUCAAAUAAACAAAGAAAAGGAUCCAAAUGAAAUCAACAUCGAGACUUAGGGUUUUAUCUGACAGAAUUCCACGAGUUUUGGUGUUUGUCUAUUUCUGCAGGGGGGUAUCAGGAAUACGGAAGAAAGGCCCACACGUCGGGAUUACGUAGAGAUAUUAAUGUGCUGCGCAAUUAUCUUACAUCUAGAAGACUCCAGAAGCCACGAGGCCGAAGCGGAGGCGAAACGGGGCCAGAGACAGGGCGCCCGCCCUGUCCUACAGGGCGCCCGCCCACCUCCUGUGGCCAAUCACGUUCAACCUCGCGAAUUAUGCUCCACCGACCUAAAGGAUCAAGAAUAACCGUUGAAUCAAUGUCGGUUUGAUCCGACGGCCCAGGUUCACUUGAGGGGACUAUAAAACCAGACCCCCUGGCCCCUGGAGGAGACACCCCUUGAUCAUUAUUCAUUAUUCAUAGACAGAGCAAAAGCUAGGGUUUAGAGAUGAGAGCUCUCCUCUCUUCUCUAAACUAGAGUAGAUCUAGAUAGUAGCGAGAUGGAGAGCGAAGGAGGAUUAGAGGAGAGGCCGGCCUGUCGGUUCUUCCUCCGGUUGUACUUCGCCAUGAUCAAGCUCUAAUCAAGCUUGCUCAUGGGAUGACUCUGGUAAUCUACUUCUAAUUCAUUAUGCAAUUACUAAUCAUGUAUGUUCUGGUUCACAACUCUUUUGAGUACUUCUAAUCUAUAGGACCCUAUAGGUUAGAGUUGUAGUAUAGGUGUAAGCGUGGUGCUUAGACCUAGAUUACUUGUGGAUAUCCCCUGACUAGCUGGAUCGUGUGGUAGGCCGCGUAGGUGACAGUUACGUUGGUCCCCUGUAGUCCACCUCUCGUUAGCAGGACGAGUAGGGUUUAUCGGCCUAUGGAUAAGCAUCCUUUGUGGUGUACUCUUAUCACGUGGUUCGUCCCAGACAUAGACAUACCCCUUUGAAGUAGAGAAACCAUAGUUAUCCUCUCUAUUCUGCUACCAUCGCCCAUAUACUAGAAUUGCUCUAUUCUCUAUUCCCAUAUUAUCACUCACUGUUAUCUUACCUUUAAUAUUGUUCUUAUUCGAUUCUAUCAUCUUUCCUAUUUACACCUAUCUAUCUAUCUUGGUUAAGUUAGAGCGUAGUUGGUUCUUCCGUUUCCCUGUGGAUACGAUAAAACCUUUAACCAGGUAAAAGCUUCAACGGUAUCCGUGCGCUUGCGGAUUAUCUGUGUGCGUAUAAAUACCAUAGUACACUCUAGUGCCAUGCUGGGGAUGACAACCUAGUAUUCAAGUGGUGUUAGCAAGUGUCAACACUUUUCUUUCAUCAUCUCCUCGGAAAGCUAAUUCUGAGUGGCUCUAUAGGCAAGGCGCUGGGCAGCCCUCUGGUACUGCAGUUGACGGCUCUCCAGAUGAGCUGCUUGAAAGAGGAUUUCUUCAGCAUCGGCGAGGAUUUGGCCUCUCAGGGUCUUGAACAAAGCAUUAGCUGGAUUAGAGUCAUCGACUAGUUGGGCUGUGUCUUGGUGGAGGAGAGCCAAUAGUUCUUCCAGCUUUGCCCUGACCUCUACCGAUGUGAUCCCAACUGCCCGAGAAGAGCUUGCUUCAUCACCUUCAUCAUCAGAGAUGUCGAUGGCGAAGGAGAAUAGGCUGUCGGGAGAGUCCUGCUCCUGAAAAAGAGUUAAAACGAGUUAUUCUAUGGUCAGGUAUUGAUGAAUAAUGCAGGCGGAGAUUGGACAACUUACUUGCUUCAGGGCAAUCUCUCGCCUCUGACUAGAAGAUGCCGACGGAAUCAUGGGUUGAUCGGCUGAGGUUGCCGAUUGAACUAUGUCAGCUGAAAGGUGACAGAGAUAGUUAUAAGAUAGAAAGGGUAAGUUCAUCAGCAGUAAUUUCAUAGAAGUAUGUUACUUUGAGGUGCGACAAUACUUCUUUGGAUAGAAGAAACUACCGAUGCUAUGAUUGAGCCUGCUGGAUCGGUAGUCUGCUCGCUUACAUCAGCCGAUGUAUCUUCAGGCUGAGGCUCUUCUAGAUGAGGUUCCUCUUGUUGGGGUUCUUCCACUUGAGGUACUACUGGCAGAUGAGGGGGAGAUGGUACCUGCUGCAUCUGUGCUUCUGGGGAGGAAGGAGAGGAUUCCACUGGAAUUGGUGAUACCCGGGGAGGAGAAGGCGUUGCUACUCUUUGACGUUUCACCCGUCCUCUGGUACUCUUGGUAGCUUUCCUCUUCGGCUGGCUAGACUGGGGGGCAUCGGCACUUCUACUUCUGGUCUUUGCCGAUGCGCCGGUAUGCUACGUCAGGAAUAAGAAUUCGUAAGCACAAGUGUGACAGAUGUAAAAAUGGAAUCGGUAUAAAUAGAAAGGUUUAACGAUUACCUUGAAGGCCUGUGCUAAGGUGGAGGCGGCUACCGAUGGAGAUGUCUUGGUCCUCUUGGUGGUCACUUUCUUAAGGUGCACACCUCGGUGCAUGAUGGCAGCUAGAGUGGGAGCGUUGUUGCCGAUUGAAGAGAUCAGACCUGAUGGAAACAGAUCAAUCGACUUGCCGCUCCUACUGAUAGAUGGCGGAAUGUUAUCAACCUGCAACGUCACACAAAGAGUAAGUUACCGAUGAAUAUGGGAGUAAGGGGAUAAAAAUGUUGGUUCAAAGGUACUUACAGUAUUGUCGUGGACUUUGUACUGGGGAUCGAUCGUGCCGCGAUAUGUAAGGGCCGAUCUGCAAAACAAGUGCUCCUUCCACUCCUCCCACCAUUGCUUGUAUGCUUGAGUGACAAAGAGAACUGGAACCCACUCUGACAAAUCGACAUCCGUAUCGGCAUUUGGUGCUAGCUGGGCCACUCUGAUCCAUUCGAGGAGAUUAUUGAUAAUCUCUCUGGGUUUUAUCACAUCGGCAUAACAGAGUGCAAUCGGCAGCUGGCCGAAGGCUAAUUGACGAGCUAAUGCCGAUGGGUUGUAAAACUCAUAGGUUUGGCUAGAGGUUUUCCCACUGCUAAAUAAGUUCACUAGUAUAACUCUGGGAGUGAUCAGUGCCAUCAUUACCUCGUCAUCCUUGUUAAGAUCAUUGUCGAAUGGGUGGAAGAACAAAGGGAACAUGGUGUCUGGAUCUUCAUAGGGCAUCCAUGUUCACUGUUCUCUGGUUAGGCCUUCGUACAAGGUUUGGAAGAAUCGGCUGACCUGAUCUACGUUACCUCCUGUGCCAGGCAAGACUAUGGCAGCCUCACCAAAGUUCAGAGGAGGGCGAAUUGCCGAUUCUUCAUCAUCCAGUUCAUGGUUCUCGGCUGUAUCCCUGGGGAAACGCUAUGCAAAGAGGUCGAACUCGAGGCGCUUGUGCAUGUUAAGGUUGAGCCACAUGUUAAUAAACCACCAGGGACCCCCCAAGCUGCCGAUGGGCUGACCGAGCAGGAGUUUCUUAGCUACCUGGUGGAGGAGAUGGUAGGCAGCGCCAAGCAGGUAUCAGCCAAGAGGUAAUCGGCCACCAUUAGCCGGCCUCUCUGCCGCCGAUAGGUAAACAGAGGUCGGUCCUACCGAUCGGCCGCAGAAUAUGAAUUUGUCCAGCCACAUGUUGACGGGCCCUGUCUUACGAUACUUCUGAAUAUACCCGGACCAGCCGCCGAUGGCGCGGGUUUCCACUUUGGCGCUAGGCGCGGUGUCAAAAAAGUGGGUGCUAUCGACAGAAGAUACGUCCAGGCCGGUGAGCAGAACUGCAUCGGCAAGAGUGGGGGAAGCAGGACCGUGGCCAAAGACAAAGGCAUUGAGCGUGUCUGACCAGAAGUAUGAUGCAGCUAUCAAUAACGACUCGUUCCUAUGCAUAUCGGCAAUGGACAACCUGAUACAUUGGUCCAGUUUUCUCUCACCCCACUGGACUUCGUUUGAAUGGCUGACUCUCAAGAACCAAUCCUUCCAUCCUACGGUGGGGCUGGGCCAGGAGCGAAAAGUAUCCUUCCACAGAUCUAAGGAAAAGUUUUUGGCUCUAAAAGGGAUCCCGUUUGUUUCUACAUUAAUCAAAUCUGUGGGAUCUGGAUUCCCUAAUGGACCAAGGCAUUGGAGGUGUGGCUGAUCGGUAGGGAUGAUUAGUUUGUUGGACAGAUCCUAUUGGUUUUAGGGAUGAAAAGAAGGAUAAGAACAAAAAGAAAGAAAAAUAAAAGGAUGUUCAGUGAAAUAAAUUAUGGACAAACAGGAAUGCGGGAAAAGCACAAGAGGUGGAAUGAAGAACUCACCUCAGGGACUGUGAAGUUGAUGGCCAUCUCUUCAUGAAGAGGAUGACCGAGGGCCUCGGAGUUGGAGGAGAAAAGGCUUCGUUGGAGAUCUCGGAGCUCUCGAACAGCGCUACCGCCGGGAAAGUGGAGUUGGAGCUGUAGAAUGAUGUGAUGGGGAAGGAGUACCCGAGAAGGAACUAUUUAUUGGACAAAACGGGCAAGGGCAAAUUUGAAUUAUCUCUUCGCCGUAUCCAUGAAAUCUGAGGGUACUCAGGUAGAUAUGGUAACUGUUCGCAUGAUAAUCAAGGGAUUGUGCAGGUGAUUUGACAGGAAGCGGUUAUUAUCCGGAGAUAUUUUACUGUGCGGGAUCUCCUGGUCGGUCCAUCGGCAGCGCCUUGUAACGGUAAUAUUGCCGAUGGGCGAAUAAAGUGGAGUUAGCCGUUUGGGAGGAUAAGAUACGUUACUGAGUAUCCUGGUUAGUCCAUCGGCAGGUCUCUGUAACGGUAAUACUGCCGAUAAGCGAUCAAAGUGAAGGUGCCUAUUCGGGAAGUUGAGGAUUUCAAUGAAUCUGCGGAGGAAUCAAACUGAGGUUGUUCAGGUUGAGGUUGUCGGUUACCAAAUUGGGAGAAUUAAUUGCGAAAAAGCAUCAUUACUGCAGGGAAUUUCGGAGCAUUAAUGAUUUCAUACUCCGAAAUUGAGGGGCAUGUGUUGACACCAUUUUUGGGUACGUGUCCAUGGUCGGUAGAAUGCAGGUUGGCAAGACAAAACAACUGUGCUUGGUCUACAGGAUGAGUUGCCGAUGAGGAUGGUUGCCGAUGGAGGGACGGCUGAACAUGACCAAGUCAAUAGGUGAUGAUGUGUUUGUGCCAAUGACUACGACAGGGGAGUCUGCCGACGACGCGGAGGAAGAACCUAAAGGUUGCCGAUCGGCAUGUGGAGGUGUUCCAGUUUGUCACGGGAGGAUAGUUUUAUGUUUUCCUUAGUUAUUUAGAUCGUUUUGUAUACGGAUUCUGUUUAAUUUGGAAUUCGAAUUCUAGUCGUGUCUGGUUGUAGCUCUGCGAACAGGGUAUAAAUGUAGACCCUGAGGCUUUGUAAACAUCCAUCUAUCAAUCAAUCAAACACCAGUUUUUACUCAUAUUCUAGCAUAUACUUUUCGACGACUUCGUCAUACUUUUUUCCUUUACUACGAGUUCUUAGGAAUUCGUCGACUUAAGCUCGGCGUGUUCUCAAGUUCCAUGUGAAUACCUCUUGGCCGUGGCAUCCGGGCGUAUCGCUGUUGUCGGGACCAAAGUAUUCGAGUUACCACCUUUGCCGAUAGUAAGGUCAAACAGGCUGGCACGCCUUAACGUUUAAAUCGGGUAUUAGCCCUUUGUGUUUGCAGAUCCACUUUUGCAUCAACAGUAUGCAUACGAAGAGACAGAUGAAUGCUUUGGCAAACAUGAUAACAUACUUCAUUGGAUACUCAUUUACUUAGUAAGCUUCUAUUACAAGCUCACAAAAGAGUACCACCACAACUAACACACUUAAACAACAACCAACAACUUGACAGGUCAAAGAACAACCCAUAACUAGAGAUAUAUAGAUCCAACAGACAUGAAUUAAGACAUUCUGAAAAGCUUAUGAAAUUGUUUACAUUUCAUCUUUAGACAUCUCAGCAAGAUUCACAAGUUAAACAGGUCAAUUAAAUAAAGUUCCAGGUUCUGUUCCAGAAAGACAGAGAGCACCUUGUUCUGGAACUGAAGUUGGAAAAGCCAUAGCCAAAUGACCCCAAAUUUUAACUACAGCUAGAAUACAAAGUUUACAACAUUUUUGGUAUAGACAAGUCUUUCAGAAAACAAUGUUAUCAUUAGACAAUAAUCAGAUUACUCCCUUGUUGUCCAGAACAGCUAUGUAACCUUUAAUUAAUUAUUUGCUGACAUAGCAAAGACAUAUUUAGUAUCAACCAAGUGGCUCAUAUGCACAAGUAUAACCUAAGAUUACCAGAAAACCACAUGUUGACUACUAAACACUUAAUUAAAAAGGCAUUUAUUAAUUUAAUUCCAUAAAAGGGGAUAAUUAAAAGAUACCCACAAGAUUGCUCAGAAAAAAUCUACGAAAAUUACAGAAGCAGAAGCAAGAUACCUUGACAUUACUAUAAAAAUUUCAAAGCAAUUGCACAUGAAAAACGUAAGAUAUUUAAUUAACAUGUAACAAGGUGCUUAUUUCGUAAAUUAAGAAACAUGGCUUAAAUAGUGUGAAACAACAGAUUUCAGAUUAUUUACAUGCUAUUACUACCACGAGCAAGCUUGACACCAAAGGAAAGCACCAGCAUAAGCAUGUAGCAUUUAAUAUGAUUUAAACAUGGAUUUAAGCAAUAGUAUUAACAUAAAUUGCAUAUUAGAGAUACAGUACUCCAAAAAUCAUGAAAUAUUUACCAGAGCAUACCAGUAAUACACAAAGCAUAGCAUAAAAAGUUCACACCAUUUGGAGCAGUACAUCAAGAGAUAUGAAUUUACAUUGAAAUAACAAGAUUAAUUCCUAACAAUUAUUUUUCACAGAAACAUGGUGCAUAUUAUAUUUUUAUUAAAAACUAGCCAUCCCAUGGAUCAUCACAAUAUUUCUUUCACAAUUUUUGGAACUCAGGAACUGGAGAUAUGAUUUUUGCAAGAGUGCAAGAAAUCUGGAUUUUGAAUAAAAGAGAGGAGGGAGUCGUUGAGUCAGUGACAGCGGGACUCGCAUGUCAGUUUCUUCUUCCCCUCGACCGAUGUUGACGGUCCUUAAGUAUCAAAUUUAAUUAUCAAAUAAAUAAAGAAAAGGAUCCAAACGAAAUCAACAUCUAGACUUAGGGUUUUAUCUGACGGAAUUCCACGAGUUUUGGUGUUUGUCUAUUUCUGCAGGGGGUUAUCAGGAAAUACGGAAGAAAGGCCCACACGUCGGGAUUACAUAGAGAUAUUAAUGUGCCGCGCAAUUAUCUUACAUCUAGAAGACUCUAGAAGCCACGAGAACGAAGCGGAGGCAGAACGGGGUCUCGCCCAGGGCACCCGCCCUAGGGACCAGGGCGCCCGCCCACCUCUGGAGUCCAAUCCGGACUCUCUUUCGGGAUUACGCUCCACCGACCUAAAGGAUUAAGGAUAACCGUUUAAUCAAUGUCGGUUUGGUCCGAUGGCCCAUAUUCACUUGGAAGGACUAUAAAACCAGACCCCCUGGCCCAUGGAGGAGAGAGCCUCUCAACCCUAAUUCAUUAUUCAUCAGGGAGAAGAAGCCUCUGAUCAAGCCUAGAGCCACCACAUCAAUUAGACAUCUAGAUUAGCAUAGCUACAUAGGAUUAGAACUAGAAGGAGUCAAUCUUCGAUUGGUUUACGGGUCUGUCAAAAGGAUUCUUGGUAAUUUUCUAUUGUUCUUCAAUUGUUCAUCUUUGUUCUUCAAUAUUAUGAAUAUGACUUUGUUCUACUUCAAUAUAUUGCUUAUGACUUUGCUCUACUUGUUUAUAUUCGCAAUUAUAUUGUUCUUAGUUUAUCAUAGUUAUAUACUUGGCUUAGUUAGAUUGGAUUUAUAUACAUGUUUAGGAUCGUAUAGCGUUUAUCCAUCGGAUCCAUGGGUAAAUGAUAGAUAUUGUGUAGGCGUGGUGCUUAUACCGUAUUUAUCUACGAUUGUACCCAAUAUGCCAGAUCGUGGGGUAGUUCGUGGUAGUGACAGCUCCAUUGAUUCUUAUAUAGUCCCCCUCUCGUGUAUUGGGCUGGCAGAGCAACAUUAUUACAAGGGAGUGUUUGCGAUGUUUCUCAUAUUCUUUGCUAAUAUCACUAUGCAUGGGCGUAGUCUUGUCUCACAAUGAUUGCUAAAUAUAAUUGCACUAACUAUGAUAUGCUAGACUGUAUAGUUGAGAAUAACUUAGGAAAUAUUCUUGUAGUUCGUUCUAAUUCCAUGUUAAUGACUUGCUAGAAUAUCUAAGUGAGGUGCUUAUCAUAUUUAUUAUGUGGCUAAGUUAUGCUGAUCAGAUUAAUUACCUUUGUCACUAUUCAUUACUUUAUAUAUCCUUUAUGUGACACUUAUCCCUGUAUGAAAGAGUUAGAUAAAUGUUCUCAAUUAUACAUGCAAUGAUAGAUACUCAAUUCAAUAUUCCAUUAUAUAAUCAACAUUGAUGAUUACUAAUCCCUUCCCAGUGGUAAAAAUAUAAAUAACGAUACCUGGAAUACUUCUCGGUUAAAAUGCUACAUCGAUAUUAAUCUGUGCGCUUGCAGAUCCCAUUCUUUAUAUUUAGAUGAGCAAUUGCAUAUUUCAAUACCGCGUCUCUCAUGUCAUGCUGGGGAUGACAACUUGGCUUAAGUGGUAUGAGGGAUAGGUUUGGCAUUUUUGGCGCCGUUAUCAGAAUUAGAAAUUAAGUCUACUUUUGGUAAUGAUGUUAAGAAUGCCCAACAAGCAUUUUUGGCUCCGUUGCCAGGGAAGGUUGAUUACUGAUCAGGAAUGAAUAUAGAAUUUUGAUUUAUCAUUCGCAUCACUAAUAUGAUUGAGCUUAUCAAUUAUCUCAUAUAGUUAUACCCCGAUAUUUUUCUAUUUUAUCUUAUGCAGGGUAAUGUAUGAAUAGAAGACAUCUUCCAGGAAAUUUUGUUGAUAAUCCCGAAGUGUUAUUCAGAAAAACAAGAGCCAAGCUCAAGAAGAGAUCAUCAACACUUCAGCAAGAAGCUUCAUCCAAUCAAGAAGGUCACCGAAACUUGUCUUCAGAGUUCGAAGCCAUGGCGAACAAAUCGAUCCGUGAGUUCUCAGCUCCCACUACGGACAACAUCCGCACUGGACCUGCUGCAGAAAUCAAUGGCAACUUUGAGCUCAAGCAUGGACUUAUCAACAUGGUGCAAUCCAACCAGUUAUGUGGGAAGGCACAUGAAGAUGCUAGUGCUCUUCUCCAAUACUUCCUGGAGAUUUGCAGCACAUUCACCAUAUCAGGAGUCCCCAGAGAUGCUAUACUACUUCGUGUUUUCCCAUUCUCACUGUUAGGGAGAGCGAAGCAGUGGUACUACGCUACAAAGGAGAAGAAUACUACGUGGGCACUCUGCUCCACAAACUUUCUGGCUAAGUUCUUACCCAUGGGCAAGACCAAUGCUCUCCGUGGGAAGACUACAAGUUUUCAGCAACAACAUGAUGAAUCUGUUCCAGAAGCAUGGGAGCGCUUCCAAGACUACAUCCUAGAAUGUUCCCAUCAUGGAAUAGAGAGUUGGCUACUGAUGCAGACGUUUUAUCAUGGGCUCGGCAACAGUGCCCGAGAAACCAUGGAUGCUGCAGUUGGAGGAGCAUUCCUAUCACUCACCAUAUCACAAGCCAUAGCUCUUGUGGAGAAGAUGGCGUCCAAUCAAAGCUAGAAUGAAGAGAGGACCCAGACACGCAAGAAAGGUGGAGGUAUGCAUCAGCUCAAGGAGGUAGACAUGUUGUCAGCAAAGCUAGACCUGCUCAUGAAGAAGCUUGAAGAUAGAGCUGGAGACAUGAAAGAAGUUAUGCACAUCUAGGACUCUCACAUGACUUGUGAGGAGUGUGGAGAUACUGGACACUCAGGCAAUCACUGCCCUGAGACACUUGAGGAUGUGAACUACAUCAACAACAACAACUACUACUACAACUGUCCUCAACAAAAUCAAGGUUGGAAUCAACAAAGACCUAACUACUCAGGUAAUUAUCAAGGUAACAAUUCUUACAACAAUAAUAAUAAUUUUCCACCUUUGAGAGAGUUAGUGUCUAAUCAAGGAAAGUUAAUGGAUAACCUAUCUAAGAAAUUGGCAUCUAAUGAUAAAAUGCUAGAAAAUAUAAAUAAUAGAAUGGAUAAUUUCUCUACUGCCAUCAAGAAUCAAAUUAGCUUUAAUAAAAUGAUUGAAUCUCAGUUAAAUAAAAUAGCUGCUGCUGUUCCUGCUACUAACCCCAGUAUACCAUCACAACCGGAAGGAUUAGAAUCUGCAAAUCUUGUAGACAUGUUUGAUGCAGGUAAUUGGAGUAACCCCAUCACUGAAGUUACUACUGACCUUCUGUCGGUCAAGAGAGGCGAUCCAGGAUGCCCCGUCAUCCCGAUCUCCAUCGGCAUGGUGAACUUCCCAGAAGCACUCUGCGACUUUGGCUCUAGUGUCAACAUUAUGCCCAGGGUACUCUAUGAAAACUUCUUUACAUAUCCUUUAGUAGAAACAACCGUAUGUUUGCAGUUUGCAGAUCAGACGAUAAGUUUUCCAAAAGGAAUAUUGAAGAACCUUUGUGUCCGAGUUGGUACCUUGUACGCCCCAGCAGACUUCGUAGUGAUAGAGAGCGGUAAUGAUGAGAGGGCACCCAUCAUCUUAGGGAGGCCAUUCUUAAACACCUCGAGAGCUGUCAUCUACGCUAGUGCUGCCAAGAUCAGUUUCUACAUCAAAGGGAAGAAGGAGACGUUUUCCUUCAAGAACAAGACUACACAAAUAUUUAAUUGAACCAAGGAAGAGGACCAACAGGAGGAACAUGAACAAGCAAGUGUGGACCGAAUCAGCUAAGAUGGUCACUGCAGUUCAUGAAGGUCAAGAUCAUCGACUUAAGUCACCGUUUCUGACCAAGAAGGACGACCUAGGAAUGCCAACCAUUUAUUGCUCCAUCAAUGGGUACAACUUCUACAAGAUGACUUGUGACACCGGAUCGGGCGUCAACAUAAUGGCCGCAGUCACCUAUUGGCUCCUGUUCGGAACCAUGCCCCUAAAACCCAACAUACAUCAUCUCCACUUGAGUAGAUCUUUAUAAAUGCUCUCAUGCUACCUUAUUUGCUUUAGUAUAUGUCUAGGUUUGGAGUAGUUUCUUUUGUCUCUUAAAUAAGCAUGGUGCUUAGUUUAGGAAUGAUGAUCUUACUUCCAAGGGAUUUUAAAUUAAGCAUGGUGCUUAGGUUAAAAUGCCCUCCUAAAUCAAAUUAGACAUGGUGUCUAGGUUGAUUUUUGAGCCGAUAGUAUGCUAUAGUAGAUAUUGGAUAUUUUGUUGGACUAAACCCUGCAGGAAAACUUUCAAUAUCGACCUGGGAAGUCCUGAGAUAAACUCACAUUGGAGAGAAAGAGAGAGAUACAUCAAGUUUAACAAUUUACACAAGAAAGGCGUAGCUCAUAAGGGAUGAUCCAUGGAGGGUGCCACAAACACGAUGCAUAACCGCUAUGAAAGGAAAGCUUCCACAAGGUGAUACUGUACCAUCACUCUUCAAGUAAGAUAACAUCUUAAGGUACUUGACUAUCACUUUUAUAAGCUUCUCCUUGGUUCUGGCGUUCAUGUGAAUAAAAGAGACAAACAUGUAUGAUUUACAACUCUAGGUUAACCAACCCAAUCGAUUCAAUAUGUUUAGUCCUUCCACCUUUGUGAUCCCACACUACUAAUCAUAUGAGCUAAAAUGUUGCACACUCAAUCUUUGGAAGUUAUAUAAAAAAACAUAAACAUAGAUAGAUUAUCUUUCCAUAAGGUUGAGCAAUCUGAUCUGACAAAUAUUUUAAAUGCUACACUCAUGAUCUUAUUAUCCAUCAAAUUUGUCUUGCUCACUAUGCUUAAGGUUAGAGAAGAACAAAAACACUUUUGGUUAUAUUGGUGUUUUCCACCAACAGGGCCCAUGCACUUGAUCUCUGCAUUGUCUCUAUGAGCAGGUACACUUCGAGCAAAAUCUGAAGGAGUUUUACAACUCUCAGAUUCCACCAAGUGAAGGACUCGGAUCUAUGAGCACAAACACACUGAGCAGGAUACUGCCAAUGCCGCACCUUGAACUGCUGGACAAACGAAGAACAUGGGUGACACCAUAUCAAGAGGUGCAGAUGUCAAGGCACACACCCAAUCAAAUAAUGCACCUAAAGGAUGAACACGGUGAGAAGUCUUGUCCAGAAGACUGAAAACAUUGGAUCCUUGCCGGAAGGUAAAAUCGGUAUUUAUCCAUAUUUAUCUUUUCUGCAUUACUUUUCCUUUUUAUUCCAUCACUUGCAUUAGCAUAUUUACUUUUCCACAUUAGCAUUAGAAAACAAAACAAAAAUAUUUGUUCGUUGCACUGCAACAUAAAAUCUAAAGACCCAUGUGAGUAGACUUGUGGUUUAAAACCCAUAGGUAUAUUGACUGUGGUGGCAUAAAAUAAAUAUGUUUUCAUGUUACAAUAAAAAUAUAAAUAAUAAGUGCAUGAUCCCGCUAAAUAAAUAAAAUUUAUUAGGUGGAAUCUCAAUAUGAUAAAGGCUAAGAGAUUUUAUGCUAACACUUAACCAGUUCCACAAAGCUUUUUCGUCUAUUUGAGCUCUACAAAAUUCAAAGAUCAAAGAAGACUAGCCGACGGAGGACAUAUUAAUCGUUGUCAGGGUGCUGCCGACUUUCAAAUACACCUCUACCACCUCCUAGCCACAUCAAAAGAAAUUAUGUCAAAAUUCAACUUGGGGGAGAGCACCCCCAUUUAUCCCGCUAAGUAUUUCUAUCUAUCUUUAUACUUAUACUAUAUUAAAAUAUAGAUUUACAUAACUAUGGAAAACCAAAUAAAGAUUAUGUGCUUAUACAUAUCCUUUGCUUAGUUUGUUUAAUAAAUAAAUAAAGUGGCUAUGCUAAACUGAAUCCUAAAUAAUAAAAAUCUAGCAUGGAUAUCAUGAAUAGUUGCUCUGCCUAAUUUUUAAAAUUUGAAGUUCUCUCUCAAGUUUAGACAUAACUGUUAUAAUUUAAAGCUUGCUCUAAACCUAAACUUGUGGGAAGAAAACGUGAUGUGAAGUCUAAGUUGUUAACGGAUAUGAUAUGGGAAGGUAGAGCUGGUGUUUAUCUGUUCCUGGAGAUGCUAGAAUUCUGGAGAAUUUUAUCUUUGAAAAAUCUUUAAAAUAUUGCAUGAUGAGUUCCUGUAUGAUGAGAGUUUAAAUUCCUACCACAUCCAUAUAUACAUGCUUGCUAGACUUUGAGCCACACAUUUACUUUUUACUGCUUAUGAGCAUUGAGUGUGGUCAAGCUAUGUAGACCCUUAGGAGCUUGUCAUGUGGUUAAUUCAAGAUUCACUUGCACGUUCACUCACACAUGCUGCUUCUACUCCAGAAGUACGCAUCCACAUAUAUCCACUCAUUACUAUCUCCAGAACCACCCAAAAAUAUUCUACUCCUAAUCCGGGAGAGAAUAGCCAAAAAUAUUUCUAUUUUUCCCCUGAGAAAUAAAUGCUCAAGUUAUCUUGUUACUACCACUUGCUAUAUUAUUUCAAGAGAUGAGUGCUCUAUAAAAAAAGAGAGAAGAUACGAGGAAAUAAAAAGGGGCAAGUGCUCGGAACCUCAAAAAAAAUGAAAGAAAAAGUGAGACGAGAGGUAAAAAUGGACAAGUGUCCGACAGUAGAAUUAGGGGUACAAGAUACCCACCUAAGAGGAAAGAAAAAGAAAAGAUAGAGCAUCUCAUUUUCCUCAAAAAGUUUCAAAGAGCAAGAAAGGUAUGUAUCCCCUCAAAGAGGAAAAGUAGAAUUAGACUUUCACCAUUGUUAUCACCAUCAUCACCAUACACCAUUCAUUUGCCACACAUGCACAUCUUGAUUUGACUUAUUGAUUUGUUUCUUUGGAUCCAUGAUUUGACUAUACAAUAAAUGUCUUGUAAGUAUGUAUACUUUAUCUCCCACCUAUGAGCUCCAGAUAUUAAAGUCUUAUUAGAGUAGGAUGAGAAAGGAGGCAAUGUCAUUAUGCCUUAUACCACAAAUACUACAUAUCUUGAGAGAAGGCAAAUACCAUUACUGUCUUGGUAAGGAUCUAGAAAUACCACAAAAGAGAGAUUUGAGAGAGUCAUACAAGGAAUCUCUGAGUUUUAUUUGAAAAUCUACAAAAACUCCAGAGCUAUAGCUGAUCAAGAAUAAGAGACUGUUGGGUAUUUUAAACGCAAAUAGAAAAAUCCGCAAGCGCAUGGAUACCGAUGUAGCUUUCACCCGGGAGUAUUCCAGAGUAUCGAUUUUCCACAGGGAACGUGAGUGUACUAAUUAAGAUUCAAGAUCGCCCAAGGAUAACUAUAUAAUUAUUUUUGGUGGGAAGAAAGGAAGUUUCCUGAGAGUUCUCUAGUUGAUCUAAGAAUCAAGAAUUACUUCAAAGAUUAUUUAUUUUGGGACAUCAGAACACUAACCACAGAAAGAGAUGAGAAGGGGCCUAGGAAGCUCUGACUACGGUCCUACAAACACUGAUCCGAACGAGGUGGAAUACAUCGACCGUUAGGGCUGUCACUACCCUAGGGCUACCACAACAAUCCGCAGGAUUGGGUGCAAUUCCAGGUAAUUGCAAGACUAAACACCACGUAUAAUCUAUUAAUUACUACUCUAAUUGUCGAGGGUAUCAACGAGGGGUACCCUCACCAAUGCGUAUAACGAAGCCAUCCGUACACACGUGCGGCCAUCGAUGGUCGCAGCCUCGAAGACGGAAAUAGCGUCGAGCGAAUCGGUCAGGGCUCGAGCGACAACUGCCGUCGAAUACGGAAGCGGGCUCGAGCGAACCGAGAGGCGUCGAGCGCAAGGACACUGUCUGCCGCCUGACGCGCGCACGAGAGCCAGGGCAUUAAAUGCACCUGACGCUUCCCCACCUAACACACGGGUCACGGAAGGCGUGAUAGGGAACAGGCUUCUGUCCCAUCGUUCUUUUUGCAGCCUUCCCACCGAACGACCCAGGGCGUGUCAGGACGCAGGAAACAAGGAUGGAACGUCUAAUCGGGACCCCCUCGAGACACCCAAGGUCAGCGCUCCAGAUAUCAGCAUAUUACACGGCGUCUGACCCUCGACCGAACAGGGUCCCUUCCUAGGGACAAGUUGGGCGUCGACUGACAACACCACAGCUACCCCGCCGGAUCCGCCGCCAUACCGUACAAGCAUGCGACCUCAGAACCAGCGCGAGGCGGCGGGCAGGGCAGAACGCAGGAGCACGCGUAAUCAUCACCGGGCUAUCAAGAUGGGACGGCUCGAGGUCGUGCCGUACGGAAGCCUCGAGUAGGUCAGCACUCCAUGCGGCUAUCGACCCCUACUCUAACAUCUACGCAUGUACCCUGUGUCUCUCCUUGGAGCUAUAAAAGGAGAGACUCAGGAAUAGAAGAGGAGGACGACAACACAAGACCACACUCAUACGUAGUAGAGCUCCACACUUCAUACCACGCUUGUAUUCGCCCCUGUACAAGCACUUAGGUGCAAGAUAAUACAAACUCUCUCCCCCCGCUGGACGUAGGGCCUUCUCUUGCCCGAACCAGGAUAAAUCUCUGCGUCUUCUUGCAUCACCAUCCGGGAAAGGGAGCACGCAUACAAAUUUACUCGUUGGUGUGACCCCCCGGGGGGAAAACACCGACAGUUGGCGCGCCAGGUAGGGGUCCUGCGUGUUUUUGAUCGAUUUCCCACUCCUUUCCGGAUGGCUACUCUUGCCUCGCCGUUUCCGCGCUCCACGGUGAUUUGGUUUGGGAGUCUCGAGUUCAUGUCUACGGGCUCCGGCUACGACAUGAUCUUGCUCUCAGUCAAAGGACCAGGAGGAGCCCGCGUUACGCCAGCACGGUUGAAAGCCCCGAGACGCCCUCACCACCACGCCUCCCCGCCUAAGAAGAGGCACGGACAGCACCACCGCGGCACCUCUACUUCAGCACGACCAACAACUCGUGCGAGGCAGGACGUGGGCCACAAGCCGGCAGCACCGUGUGACGGAGCAACAAGCGCGACGACUCAGCACCGCACGACGACGGGAGGGGACGCGUCUCGCGCGCUCUCCCCCACCGCAGCUAGGCUACUUCCACACGGGUUGUUCUCUCCAAGGGCGGCACUGCCGUUCGGGAUGGACAACGCCGCGGCGUCGCUCGCCAGAGCGAUAUGCCCAAACACCCAGACGUACGUAGAAAGACCAAUGGUCCUCCCACGUAGCUCUGAAGCGCGGCGGCCGGCGUCCGAGCUGCCGGACCUUUCCCGAGUACGAGGUCUCCGUCGUCUAGGCCCCGGACGAUACUCGAUCACCUCCCUCAGGCAACGAUUGCUAGAGGAAGGACGUGGGUGUUUCUACGCCGCCGAACCGGACUCCGACUCCGAGACAGAUAGCUAUGACCCUACGAGGGAAUGCUAUCACAUCGACGGGGCGGUAGAAACUACUGACGAGACACGGGAUGCUGCUGUGGGUGGUCGAGCCCCCGCGGCGCGAGAAGACCCCAGGACGCCUGGGGUCGACCCCCCCCUCAGGAAGACAGAACCGCGCAGCUCGCGCAGCUGCGGGAGGUCAAAAUGAAGCUCGACGAAGACCGCGAGCGCCUCGUCCUACUAGAGCAAAUCCUCGAGCAAGACCUGCCCUACCCGCCGAGCGGAAGUGUCCGCAGACGCGCUCGAGAGGUACAUCGACAGAUCGUCGGCGACGCAAAGCCAGAGCAACCUGUCAGCCGUUUCCCUCGAGCAGGCCAGAAUGUAGUGGCAGCGACGAUGCUGCUACGUAACAUGCCAGAGCCGUCGAAUUCCCAGGCCCGACGUAUUCGAGAUGAAGUACAGACAUUGCUCCAGGUGGCGGCAGUUCAACAAGCCGAAAGUUCGGCGUCUCGACGACGAGAAGCUGCCACAGAGAAGCGCGACGAACAGCCUCUAAACGAAGAGGAGGUGUCAGUCCAUCAACAACCUCCCCCUCGAGGUAGAAAGACCACUCUCAUCCUCCCUGUCGACAAUCAACGUCGACACGACACGCGGCACGACAUCAAAGAAAAUCGACGCCGCCGGCACGGAGACGCGGAAGAGCGUGGUUAUAGCGCGCAUCGCGGUGGGAGAUACGACAGCGACGAGGACCGGGUGGCCCCCGAGCCACCGGGCCCACGGGUGUUCAGCAGGGCGAUCCGCAGCACGCCCCUGCCCAAUCCAUUUCGACCCCCAACCAGCAUCGCGAAGUACAAUGGAGAGACCAAGCCAGAGCUGUGGCUGGCCGAUUUCAGGCUGGCCUGUCAGCUAGGUGGCGCUCGAGGUGAUGAUCGAGCCAUCAUCAGACAGCUACCCCUUUUCCUCUCCGACACCGCCCGUCGAUGGCUCGAGGAACUCCCCGCCAAUCAGAUCCACAACUGGGUUGAUCUGGUCAGAGUCUUCGAGGGUAACUUCAAAGGGACCUACAUACGGCCAGGGAACUCGUGGGACCUCAGCAAGUGCAAGCAGAAGUCGGGAGAAACUCUUCGGGAGUAUGCUCGACGCUUCUCGAAGCAGCGCAUUGAGCUGCCGCACAUCCCUGACCACGACGUCGUCUUGGCGUUUGUCUCGGGCACCACCAGUCGAGACUUGGUGCGGGAAUUAGGUCGCAAUCGACCUCAGACCGUCGACGAGCUGAUGGACGUAGUAGCCAACUACGCGGCAGGGGAGGAGGCAGUCGGCGCCUUCUUCAGCUCAGAAGGAAGAAAAGGCAAGCAGCCCGUCGAUGAAGAUGGGACCUCCAGUCGAGGCCUCAAGAAAAAUAAAAAGAAGCAGAAAGUGCGGCAGUUCCACCGGGAGAAUUCCGAUGACAACCUUGUCGCCGCCAUGGAUCGAAAGAAGCCUCGAGGCCCUCCGGAUGGAGGCAUCUUCGACAAGAUGUUGGAAGAGCCGUGCCCUUACCAUAAGGGAGGCGCCAACCACAAGCUCAAAAACUGUCGUAUGCUGAGAAGGCAUUUCGACGGUCCGGGGUUCAAAAAAGAUACGCGUGAUGACUCCAAGAAAGAGAAGGCUGGCAGCAAGGAGGACAACAAAGAUGACGACGGCUUCCCCGCCGUCCACGACUGCUACAUGAUCUAUGGCGGGCCCUCGACUCAAUUAACCAUGAGGCAGCGCAAAAGGGAGCGUCGCGAAGUCUUUGCAGCAAGAAUGGCGGUGCCCCAAUACCUUAGUUGGUCAAGCACUCCUAUCACUUUCGACCGAGAGGACCACCCCGACAAGGUAGUCGCCCCGGGCGUCUACCCGCUCGUCGUCGACCCCAUCAUCAUCAACACCCGACUCUCGUAAGUGCUAUUGGAUGGUGGCAGCAGCCUCAACAUCAUCUACCUCGAGACCCUCGACCUCCUCGGCAUCGAUAGAGGACGCCUCCAGCCGAGCGCCGGCGGUUUCCAUGGCGUCGUGCCAGGGAAAAAGGCACUGCCAGUAGGUCGAAUUGACCUACCGGUCUGCUUCAGCACGGCGGCCAACUUCAGGAAGGAGACCCUCACCUUUGAGGUGGUUGGGUUCCGAGGCACGUACCACGCCAUCAUCGGGCGCCCGGGCUACGCCACGUUCAUGGCUAUACCCAACUACACCUACUUGAAGCUGAAGAUGCCCGGUCCCAAAGGCGUCAUCACUGUCAGUUCCUCCUUUGAGCAUGCGUACGAGUGCGACGUCGAGUGCGUCGAGUACGGGGAGGCGGUCGAGAACUCCACCGAGCUCGUCGCGAAGCUCGAGGCCCUGGCCACUGAGGCUCCAGAGCCUAAGCGCCACGCAGGCAGCUUCGAGGCGGCGGAAGGAACCAAGAAGAUCCCGCUCGACCCCAACAACUCCGACGGCAAGGUGCUGACGAUCAGCACCGACCUCGACCCCAAAUAGGAAGCCGUGCUCGUCGACUUUCUCCGUGCAAAUGCUGAUAUGUUUGCAUGGAGUCCCUCGGACAUGCCAGGCAUACCGAGGGAAGUCGCCGAGCACUCCUUGGAGAUUCGAGCCGGUUCCAAGCCAGUGAAGCAGCGGUUGCGCCGAUUCGAUGAGGAGAAGCGCAAGAUCAUUGGCGAGGAAGUCCACAAGGUUUUGGCGGCCGGAUUCGUCAAGGAGGUUCAUCAUCCUGACUGGUUAGCAAACCCUGUAUUAGUUAAGAAAAAGAAUGGGAAAAUGAGGAUGUGUGUCGAUUAUACUAGUCUAAAUAAAGCAUGUCCGAAAGUUCCCUUUCCAUUGCCACGCAUUGAUCAGAUUGUCGAUUCUACCGCGGGAUGUGAAACCCUUUCUUUCCUUGAUGCAUAUUCUGGUUACCACCAAAUAAAAAUGAAGGAGUCCGACCAGCUCGCGACCUCUUUCAUCACGCCUUUUGGGAUGUAUUGCUACGUGACCAUGCCAUUUGGGCUUCGAAACGCGGGAGCCACGUAUCAACGUUGCAUGCUCCACGUAUUUGGCGAACAUAUAGGGUCAACGGUCGAGGCCUACGUCGACGACAUUGUCGUCAAGUCAAAGCGAUGAGGAGACCUGAUCUAGGACCUCGAGAUUGCCUUCAGCUGCCUACGCACCAGCCAGAUCAAGCUCAAUCCCGAGAAGUGCGUUUUCGGCGUGCCUCGAGGCAUGCUCCUAGGAUACAUCGUUUCGCAGCGCGGUAUCGAGGCCAACCCCGAGAAAGUCUCGGCCAUCACGAAAAUGGGGCCAAUCCGAGACAUCAAGGGUGUGCAGAGAGUCACGGGGUGCCUGGCGGCUCUAAGCCAUUUCAUCUCGAGACUAGGAGAAAAGGCAUUACCAUUAUAUCGACUCCUAAAGAAGGUCGAGCGCUUUUCUUGGACCCCUGAGGCCGAGGAAGCACUCGAAAGGCUGAAAAAGACGCUGACCUCGGCACCAGUCCUGGUUCCACCUCAACCUGCAGAGCCGCUGCUCCUCUACGUCGCGUCGACGACCCAGGUCGUCAGCGCGGCGGUGGUGGUUGAGAGGCAGGAGGAGGGACAUGCGUUACCGGUUCAGAGGCCAGUAUAUUUCGUCAGCAAGGUGCUUUCGGAGACUAAAGCACGUUAUCCCCAAAUCCAGAAGCUGAUUUAUGCCGUAAUCCUUGCCCGUCGCAAGCUGCAGCAUUACUUCCUUGGCCACCCCAUCACGGUGGUCUCGUCUUUUCCUUUAGGCGAAAUAAUCCAGAGCAAAGAAGCCACGGGAAGAAUAGCAAAAUGGUCGGUCGAGCUCAUGAGUGAGACUCUCACUUAUGCGCCUCGCAAGGCCAUCAAAUCGCAGGCCCUGGUAGACUUCAUCGCAGAAUGGACGGACACCCAGCUCCCCCCGACCCAGGUCCAGGCGGAACUAUGGACGAUGUAUUUCGAUGGGUCGCUCAUGAAAACUGGAGCCGGAGCCGGCCUGCUGUUCAUCUCACCCUUGGGCGUCCACAUGAGGUACAUAAUCAGGAUUCAUUUUGCUGCAUCUAACAAUGUCGCAGAAUAUGAGGCCCUCGUCAACGGUCUCAAGAUCGCUAUCGAGUUAGGAGUCCGACGCCUCGACGUCCGAGGUGACUCCCAACUCGUCAUCGACCAAGUAAUGAAAACCUCGAGCUGCCACGACCCAAAAAUGGAAGCGUACUGCAAGGAGGUCCGUCGACUCGAGGACAGGUUCCACGGUCUCGAGCUUGUCCAUGUCGCUCGACGCUACAACGAGGCAGCCGACGAACUCGCCAAGAUCGCAUCUACCAGAGGCACAGUGCCGCCUGAUGCAUUCUCAAAGGAUCUUCACGAGCCAUCCGUCGACCUAGGCACGGGGGCUGGCGUCGACGCCACCACCGCCCAACCAACCAAUGCUGUCGAUACGCUCUUGAUGGUGGAAGAGAUGAUGGAGAUAGAACGACGACCGGGUCGACCAUUCGAUUGGCGCACACCGUUCCUCGACUGCCUUAUCCGCUGCGAGUUGCCAGAAGACAAGACAGAAGCUCGUCGUAUCGCUCGAUGGGCCAAAUCAUAUGUGAUCUAUGGCGAAGACAACGAGCUAUAUCGACGGAGCCCGACGGGGGUCUUACAACGUUGCAUCACCAUAGAAGAAGGCCGAAAACUCCUCGAUGACCUGCACUCGGGGGCUUGUGGCCACCACGCCGCUCCACAGACCCUUGUAGGGAACGCUUUUCGGCAAGGCUUCUACUGGCCAACGGCCGUGGCGGAUGCCAUCGAGCUCGUACGCUCGUGUCAUGGGUGCCAGUUCUACGCCAAGCAGACGCAUCUGCCCGCCCACGCUCUUCAGAUGAUCCCCAUCACCUGGCCGUUUGCGGUAUGGGGGCUCGAUUUAGUAGGACCUCUACAAAAGGCGAAAGGAGGAUACACCCAUUUGCUGGUGGCCAUUGACAAGUUCUCAAAAUGGAUCGAGGCUCGACCCAUCACCAACAUCCGCUCCGAGCAGGCCGUCCUCUUCUUCACCGACAUCAUCCAUCGGUUUGGGAUCCCCAAUGUCAUCAUCACCGACAACGGCACCCAGUUCACCGGCAGAAAGUUCUUGGAUUUCUGCGAUCAGCAUCAUAUCCGUGUGAACUGGUCUGCAGUAGCCCACCCUCGAACUAACGGCCAGGUCGAGCGUGCCAACGGCAUGAUUUUGCAAGGACUCAAGCCAAGGAUCUACAAUCGAUUGAAGAAAUUCGGCAAGAAAUGGGUCGAGGAGCUUUCCUCAGUCCUAUGGAGCCUUAGGACAACGCCAAGCAGGGCCACCAAAUACACCCCGUUCUUCAUGGUCUACGGCUCUGAGGCUAUCCUCCCCACAGACCUCGAGUAUGGGUCACCUCGACUCAAGGCUUACAACGAGCAAUCGAACAAAGAAACUCAAGAAAACGCGGUCGACCAACUCGAGGAGGCUCGAGACAUGGCCCUCCUCAACUCUGCCAGAUAUCAGCAGAGACUCCGACGCUACCACGACAAGCACGUGCGCAAGAGGGACCUCAACGUAGGCGACCUUGUCCUACGACGCCGGCAAAGCAACCAAGGACGCCACAAGCUGACUCCACCUUGGGAAGGCCCGUAUGUGGUGGCCGAGGUCCUUAAGCCAGGAACAUACAAAUUGGCGGACGAAAAGGGGGCAAUCUUCACCAACGCAUGGAACAUCGAACAGCUACGUCGAUUCUACCCCUAGAAGUCCUAAACUUACGUUCCUACAUUUUGUACGAAGACUUUGUAAACGAACGUGUGAAUAAAUAAAGUCUUUCUCUCGAGUGACUUCUUUUUGUGCCAAAAAUAGUUACGAGUCAUAGUCUUGACGUUAAAAGGGGAUGCCGACCAUGACCCAUCAUAGUCAGCACCCCCUCGGGGGCUACCAGGGGGACGACCCCCCCCCAAGCGUCGAAAAAGCCAAGAAAUUUUCUUUUCUUACUUAGUAAACCUUGCACGGUUCGAGUAGCUAAGGCGCCUCGAGCCCCUCAAAGGCCGAGGGAUAACGAGCCGGAGAACUCCCACGCCCCCGGGCUACGGAAACUCUACUCACUUCCUCACCCUUGAGGUAACCGAGGUUGUUUUUGACGAAAGAUCGAGCAAGGAAUACAAACGUAGGAACAAAGAGAAACAAAAGAACCUCGAGCGGAAAGACAAAUAAGCAUUUAACAAUCACAAAAAGAUACUGUAUCACCUAAUAGCAGAAUUAAUAAAGUAUCAUACAAGGGGCCUCAGGCGCCCUGAGCAGGCUCGCAGGCCUCAGUCCGCGGCACGAUCCUCACCGCCCUCGCCUCCGCCCGAGCUAGCCUCAGGAGGGAGCACCUCAGGCUCGAAGAGCUUGGCCAACCUUUCCCCAGGAGCCUCCGCGUCGUCGAUCAAAGCAUGAAGCCUCUCCUCGUUCUCCGCGUCGGUCUUAGAGAUGUCGGUGACGAAGCCAUGGGACACCACCUCCAUGUCGUAGGAGAAGCCCGAGCAGACAACCGCCAUCGCCCGCUUCACUCCGAUGUGGAGGGCGUCCAGCACCCGAUCUCGUAGCGUCGCGCCUAUGUAGCACAACUGGUCGACCAGGGCGUCGCCUCGAGCGUCCUCCCUCGACUCAUCCAUAGGCUCGACCUCCCAAGAGGUCGAGAGAUCACUUAUCACCGUCCGCACUCGACGGUUCAAAGCAACCUUCGCCUCGAGCAGAGCCUUGGCGUUGCGAGCCUCGGCUUGGGCGGCCAGGAGUUCGUCCUUGAGCCCUGUAAAAGCCAAUAUAAAGAGACCUUAGGAAAAACCAAGCACACCUCGAAAAAGAAAUUCGACAAAGGAAACAUACCUUUGAUGCUCUCCUCUAGGGCUGUGUUCUCGCCGACCAAUCUGGUGUUGGCACGCUCGAUCUCUCUGUUGGAGCGCGCCAGCCUGAGCAACGGCUCCACUCUUCUCCAGCAAUUCUCCCUUCAGACGCUCGACGUCGUCAGAGAGACUGCGGGAUCGAGCCCGCUCCGCCUCGAGGUCUUCGAGGGCCUCCUUCUUUACGUCCUCGGCGGCACCCCUUGCGACCUCACUGUCCACGUACGCCACUUUCAUCUUCUGGAAAGAAUCGCGGAGGGAGUCCAGGUCGGUCUUGAGAAGGCCCUUCUCCUUGUCCAGGUCCGCAAUGACGCUCUUGUAGGACAGGGCCACCUCCCGGGCUCUGGACGCGGCCUCCUCGACCGUAAGAGCCCGCUCUCGUAGCUGCAUCGAAAGAUAUAUAAGUAGAGCUUUAAAAGUUUUAGCAUACUUACUUUGCAUUUUGCUAUGUCAAUGCUCGAAGCAAGGGAAACAAAUGUCAUACUCCUAGAUCAAGACCUUUGACUUUUUUGAAAAGUUUGUCAUCUCUUACUAGCAUAUUGCUUAUUAGAGGGACCAUGGGCUAUCAUUUUGUUUUCUUUCUUUUUCUUCUUCUUUUUUUAAGUCUUUUUUCAAGUGGGCACCAAGUACCCCUAAUUCUACUGUCGGACACGUGUCUAUUUUUUUCACUCAGGUGGGUAUCUUUGUACCCCUAAUUCUACUUCAAACACUUGUCCAUUUUUACAUCUCGUCUCACUCUUUCUUUUGAAUCAAAUUUUUGCAUAGUCCCAUGCCUCUAAUGCAAUAAUACUUUGGAAGAGUGAAUCUUUUAUAUUUAUAAAAACAAAAAGAUCUUGAUCUUUAGAGCAUGAUAAUUCUCUCAACCAAAACUACAAGAAUUAACAAUGGCUUGAACAAAGAAAGUGCCCACAGUUUUAACAUUUAUAUCUUAUAAGACUCUAGGUACUAUGUCAAACAGGAUCUCAUCAUCAUUUUUUUAUUAUGAAUUUUUAGAUUUUCAGAAGAUAAAAUCUCCAGAACUCUAGCAAUACUCGGAACAAGUUAAAUAGUAGCUUAGGCCUUCUCAUAUCAUGUUUGUCAAUGUUGACUAUCCUUAAUGCUCACAUUUAUCCAUCAACUAAUCAUGGAAAAGGAUCCAAAUGCAACUAACACCUAGACUUAGGGUUUUAUCUGAAAGAAUUCCAUGAGUUUUGGUGUUUGUCUAUUUCUACAGGGGGUUAUCAGGAAAUACGGAAGAAAGGCCCACACGUCGGGUUUAUAUAGAGAUAUUAACGUGCCGCGCAAUUUUCUACCAUCUAGAAAACUCCAGAAGCCACGAGAACCAACGGGAAGGAAAUUGGGCUCGGAGGCAGGGCGCCCGCCGAACUCUCCUGGGCGCCCGCCCAGCUACAGUGCCCAAUCAGGACACGUUUCGCGGAUUAUGCUCCACCGACCUAAAGGAUCAAGGAAAACCGUGCGAUCAAUGUCGGUUUGAUCCGACGGCCCAGAUUCACUUGAAGGGACUAUAAAACCAGACCCCCUGGCCCCUGGAGAUCAUACCUCUUCUACAGAAUCAAAGCUAUGGUUUCAAUUCUUCAUCCAAGUAGAGAGGAUCCCUCUAGUUCUUCUAGUUCUACCUCUAGUUCAUCUAGAUCUAGUUCUAGUUCAUCUAGUUCUAGUUCUAGUUCCUCUAGUUCUAGUUCUAGUUAGUUCUAGUUGUAAUCUAGAAAAUAGGUAGAGAGAAGAGGAGAGCGGAGGAGGAGGAGCCGGAUCUGUCGGAUCUUCCUCAACAUUGUACUUUUGCAGCAACUGGUUCGUUCUUCAUCGUUCUCCAGGUUCUUCAAUUCAUAAUUCCUGAGUUCUCUAAUUACUUUUAUUUACAUUCAAGUUAUUUAUUGGAAUCCCGCUUGCAUCAAGUGCUCUAAUCUUUGAAACAUUAGAGUAGUAAUUAAUAGAUUAGACGUGGUGUUUAGUCUUGCAAUUACCUGGAAUUCCACCCAAUCUUGCGGAUUGUUGUGGUAGCCUUAGGGUAGUGACAGCCCUAACGGUCGACGUAUUCCACCUCGUUCGGAUCGGUGUUUGUAGGACCGUAGUCGGAGCUUCCUAGCCCCCUUCUCAUCUCUUUCUGUGGUUAGUGUUCUGAUGUCCCGAUAUAGAUAAUCUUGAAGUAAUUCUUGAUUCUUAGAUCAACUAGAGAACUCUCAGAAAACUUCCUCUCUUCCCACCAAAAAUAAUCAUAUAGUUAUCCUUGGGCGAUCUUGGAUCUUAAUUAGUACACUCACGUUCCCUGUGGAAAAUCGAUACUCUGGAAUACUCCCGGGUGAAGGCUACAUCGGUAUCCGUGCGCUUGCGGAUUUUUCUGUUUGUGUUUAAAAAACCCAACAAGCUUUCUGGCGCCGUUGCCGGAGAACGGUAGCUGUGCUAGUUUCGAAACAAGUCGUCCGUGUAUCCUUUUUUCUUUUCUUUUUUUUUACCACACUCACCUUACCAUUUUCACCAUACCACAUGGAAUUCACUCUAAGCAUUAAUGAGCAUGGAAUUUAUUUCAUAGCCACUUCAUUUACUCCAUGCUCAUAUGCAACAUCUUCACAAUCCAUUGGUCUCUCCAACAUCACCACAUUCGAGAUCUCCAACCACCACUUCCUUUCUAUUUAUAAUUACUUUAAAAGGCCGGCUGUCGAUGCAUAUGUCUAUAAUAAAUUUUGCAGAUCUCGUUGAGUUGAUCUUGAUAUAGGUCAGCGUUAGAGGUGAAACCACUUCACUGACAUAAAAUUGAUGGUUUCCCAAGGACAAGCUUAGUGUCCUAAAACAAGCACUGAUCAGAUUGUAACAUGAGCUUUUAAUUAUUUGCAACAUUACCUUGUGUGUUGAGCAUAUAAGGAUAAUUGUAAAAAUCUUCCUUCGGGUAUUUUUGUCACUAACCUUUCCAGGAUUGGAGCAAGAAGAUCGGAUGAAUGACAAGCACAAGGUAUGUCCAACCAAUCAUCAUACAACAUUGAAUUAAAUUCAUCGAAACUUGAAUUUUGCAAAGUUCAAGCUUGGGGGAGUACUUUACAUAAAAUAAAUCCUUUGCCAUGUUGCUAUGUUGGUUGUCCGUACCUUUGAGACAUGCUCAAUUUGUUAAAUACUAAUCACACUACUUCAUCUCCACUUGAGUAGAUCACUAUAAAUGCUCUCAGGCUACCUUUAUUUGCUUUAGUAUAUGUCUAGGUUUGGAGUAGUUUCAUUUAUCUUUUAAUUAAGCAUGGUGCUUAGUUUAGGGCUCAUGAUCUUACUUCUAAGGGAAUUUAAAUUAAGCAUGAUGCUUAAGUUAAAAUGCCCUCCUAAAUCAAAUUAGAUAUGGUGUCUAGGUUGAUCUUUGAGCCUAUAGUAUGCUAUAGUAGAUAUUGGAUAUUUUGUUGGACUAACCCCUGCAGGAAAACUUUCAAUAUCGACCUGGGAAGUCCUGAGAUAAAGUCACAUUGGAGACAAAGAGAGAGACGCAUGAAGUUUAACAAUUUACACAAGGAAGGCAUAGCUCACAAGAGAUGAUCCAUGGAGGGUGCCACAAACAUGAUGCACAACCGCUAAGAAAGGAAAGCUUCCACCAGGUGAUACUAUACCAUCACUCUUCAAGUAAGGUAACAUCUUAAGGUACUUGACUAUCACUUCUAUAAGCUUCUCCUUGGUUCUGGCGAUUGCAUGAAUAAAAGAGACAAACAUGUAUGAUUUACAACUCUAGAUUAACCAACCCAAUCGAUUCAACAUGUUUAGUCCUUCCACCUUUGUGAUCCUACACUCCUAAUCAUAUAAGCUAAAAUGUUGCACCUUCAAUCUCUGGAAGAUAUAAACAAAACAUAAAUAUAGAUAAAUUAUCUUUCCAUUGGGUUGAGCGAUCUGAUCUGACAAAUGUUUUAACUGCUACACUCAUGAUCUUAUUAUCCAUCAACUUUGUCUUGCUCACUAUGCUUAAGGUUAGAGAGAACAAAUACACUCUUGGUUCUGUUGGUGUUUUCCACUAACAGGGCCCAUGCACUUGAUCUCUGCCUUGUCUCUAUGAGCAGAUACACUUCGAGCAAAAUAUGAAGGAGUUUUUCAACUCCCAGACUCCACCAAGUGAAGAACCUAGAUCUACGAGCACAAACACACUGGAGAUACUGGACACUCAGGCAAUCACUGCCCUGUGAUGCUUGAGGACGUAACUACUGGAGUAACCCUGUUGUGGAAGUAAUUACUGACAUUCUGCCGAUCAAUAGAUGCGAUCCAGGACGCCCCGUCAUCCCGAUCUCCAUCGGCAUGGUGGACUUCCCAGAAGCACUCUGCGACUUUGGCUCCAGCGUCAACAUUAUGCCCAGGGUACUCUAUGAAAAAUUCUUUACACAUCCUUUAUUAGAAACAGCCAUGUGUUUGCAGCUUGCAGAUCAUACGCUAAGUUUCCCAAAGAGAAUAUUGAAGAACCUCUACGUCCAAGUUAGUACCUUCUAUGCCCCAACAGACUUCGUGGUGAUAGAGACUGAUACUGAUGAGAGGACACCCAUCAUCCUAGGGAGGCCAUUCCUGAACACCUCGGGAGCUGUCAUCUACGCUAGUGCUGCUAAGAUCAGUUUCUACAUCACGGGGAAGAAGGAGACAUUUUCCUUCGAGAACAAGACUACACAAAUCUCAUAGCAAUCCUGACAUGAACCAAGGAAGAGGAUCAACAGGGGGAACAGGAACAAGCAAAUGUGGACUGAGUCAGCUAAGAUGGUCACUGCAGCUCAAGGAGGUCAAGAUCGUCAACUCAAGUCGCCUUUCUUGAUCAAGAAGGACGACCCUGGUGUUCCAAGCAUCGAGCGCACAAUGAACGGAUAUUCUUUUCAGAAGACACUCUACGACACCGGAUCUGACGUCAACAUAAUGGCCGUAGUCACCUAUCAGCUUCUGUUCAGAACCAUGCCCCUAAAACCGACAUACAUUCAGCUCUAGAUGGCAGAUCAGACAUUCCGAAAAGUUAUUGACAUAGGAGAAGACGAGUUAUGAUCCACCCAUCAUCCUUGGGAGAUCGUUUCUCAACACCGUUAAAGCAAUCAUCUACAUUGAAACCAGAGAAGUCCACAUGCACUUCCCCUCUCAGAAGGUACGUCACUGUUUUACUGACCCUAACUAUAUAGUUGAAGACUCUAAGCAGGUCAGGACAAGAAGAAGAUGACGCAACCAUAACCAGAGGAGGAAAAUCAUCAAGGAUGGAUGGGCAGACUACGAAGGAGAAGUGAUAAGGUCUGAAGACAUACAGCUUGAACAGAACUAUCCUGAGGAGACCAUAGCACCGAGUCAGGUGUGUAGAGAGAAGAUAGUUAUACAUGAAGACCAGGCGACGCUGGAACCCCCGACUACGCCAUCCAGCGAAUCCCAGGACGACUAAGAAAACGGAGGGUCCCGUUCGGAGGACUCAAAAACACCGAACGCCUUGCCAAGAGGUAAACAUGGUAGUUAUCUUUUUCCUUUCAAUUUUUUAAAAUAGUUUACUUAGUUAAUCAGGUUCAUAUCGUCUUGAAAAAAAAAAUGUUAAAGAAUAGUAAGCCCCAUGUGAGUAUGCUCAUGGCAUAAAACCCAUAAGUACAUUCACUGUGUGGCAUAAAAAUAAAAUAAAUAUUUUCUCUGCUCUAUAAAAUGAAAAUAUAAAAAUAAAUUUAUGAUCCUACCAAAGAGUGUAACAUUUAUUGAGGAAGCUCAACAUGAUAAAGGCUAGAUAUUUAUGCUAACACUUAACUAGUUCCACAAAGCUUUGUUGUCUAUUUGAGCUCCACAGAAUUCAAGGAUCAAAGAAGACUAGCAGACGGAGGACUGCCAACAUUCAAAUACACCUCCGCCACCUGCUACAUCAAAAGGAAUUACGUCAAAAUCCAGCUUGGGGGAGAGCACCCCCAUUUAUCCAGCUAAGUGUUUCUACUCACAUUUAUACUUUACUCAAAUAAUAAAAAGAUGCAUAAUCAUAAAAACCCAAAUAGAGAUUUUGUGUUUAUAUAUAUAUCUUUGCUUAGUUUGCUAAAUAAAUAAAUAAAUAAAAUUUGCUAUGAACCCUCAUGAUAAUCUCUCACAUGGAACUGAUGAAUGAUUGCUCUGCUAUGACUAGUUCUUAAAUUGAAAUCUCUCUCAAGUUUAGGCAUGACUGGUAUUAAUUAAGAUUUGCUCUAAACCUGAACUUGUGGGAAGAGUACUUGAUCUGAAGUCUAUGUCGUUAACGGAUAUGAUAUGGGAAGGUUGAGCUACUGUUUAUCUGUUCCUAGAGAUGCUAGAAUUCUGGAGAAUUUUAUCUUUGAAAAUCUUUAAAAUGUUGCAUGAUGAGUUUCUGUAUGAUGAGAGUUUAAAUUCCUACCACAGCCAUAUAUACAUGCUUGCUAGACUUUGAACCGUACAUUUACUUUACUGCUUAUGAGCAUUGAGUGUGGUCAAGCUGUGUAGACCCUUAGGAGCUUGUCAUGUGGUUAAAUCAAGAUUCACUUGCACGUUCACUCAUACAUGCUGCUUCUACUCUGGAAGUACGCAUCCACAUAUAUCCAUCCAUUUCCAUCUCCAAAACCACCCAAAAAAAUAUUCUACUCCUAAUCUGGGAGAAAAUAGCCAAAAACAUUUCUAUUUCCCUCUGUGAAAUAAAUGCUCAAGUUAUCUUGGUUACUACCACUUGCUACAUUAUUUCAGGAGAUGGGUGCUCUAAAAAAUAAAAAUAAUAAUAAAUACGAGGAAAUAAAAAGGGGCAAGUGCGCGGAACCUCGAAAGAAAAGAAAAAAAGUGAGACGAGAGGUAAAAAUGGACAAGUGUCCGACAGUAGAAUUAGGGGUACAAGAUACCAACCUGAGAGAAAAGAAAAAAAAAGAGAGAAAAUAUAGAGCAUCUCAUUCUCCUCAAAAAGUUUCAAAAGAGCAAGAAAGGUAUGUAUCCCCUCAAAAGAGCGUAAGUAGAAUUAGACUUUCACCAUUGUUAUCACCAUCAUCACCAUACACCAUUCAUUCGCCACACAUGCACAUCUUGAUUUGACUUAUUGACUUGAUCUUCUGGAUCCAUGGUUUGACUAUGCAAUAAAUGUCUUGUAAGUAUGUAUAUUUUAUCUCCCACCUAUGAGCUCCAGAUAUCAAAACCUUAUUAGAGUAGGGUGAGAGAGAAGGCAAUGCCACUAUGCCUCAUACCAAAAAUACCACAUACUUUGAGAGAAGGCAUACACCAUUACUGCCUUGGUAAGGAUCCAGAAAUACCACAAAAGAGAGACUAGAGAGAGUCAUACAAGGAAUCUCUGAGUUUUAUUUGAAAAUCUGCAAAAACUCCAGAGCUACAGUUAAUCGAAGAACAAGAGACAUGGCACUUGACUAGACCGUUCUAUCUUUUAACUGCUCAAGACACAAGUGACGGUUGCAAGCCCCAUGAUGGAAGGUACAAUGGGUAAGUUUAAAUCUUAACAGUUUACCCUAACCCAGAGAUAAGAUCUUGUUUGAACCCAUGUGUAUCUUUAAGGUACGAAACCACUGCAGAAACUCUUGAGUUCAUCUUUGCUCAGGGACGAGCAAAGGUUAAGCUUGGGGGAGCUUGUUGAUGGUCCUUAAUGCUCACAUUUAUCCAUCAACUAAUCAUGGAAAAGGAUCCAAAUGCAACUAACACCUAGAGUUAGGGUUUUAUCUGACAGAAUUCCACGAGUUUUGGUGUUUGUCUAUUUCUGUAGGGGGUUAUCAGGAAAUACGGAAGAAAGGCCCACACGUCAGGUUUACAUAGAGAUAUUAACGUGCCGCGCAAUUUUCUACCAUCUAGAAGACUCCAGAAGCCACGGGAACGAAUGGGAAGGAAAUCGGGCUCGGAGGCAGGGCGCCCGCCCAACUCUCCUGGGCGCCCGCCCAGCUACAGUGCCCAAUCAGAACACGUUUCGCGGAUUAUGCUCCACCGACCUAAAGGAUCAAGGAAAACCGUGCGAUCAAUGUCGGUUUGAUCCGACGGCCCAGAUUCACUUGAAGGGACUAUAAAACCAGACCCCCUGGCCCCUGGAGAUCAUACCUCUUCUACAGAAUCAAAGCUAGGGUUUCAAUUCUUCAUCCAAGUAGAGAGGAUCCCUCUAGUUAUUCUAGUUCUACCUCUAGUUCAUCUAGAUCUAGUUCUAGUUCAUCUAGUUCUAGUUCAAGUUCCUCUAGUUCUAGUUCUAGUUAGUUCUAGUUGUAAUCUAGAAAAUAGGGAGAGAGAAGAGGAGAGCGGAGGAGGAGGAGCCAGAUCUGUCAGAUCUUCCUCAACAUUGUACUUUUGCAGCAACUGGUUCGUUCUUCAUCGUUCUCCAGGUUCUUCAAUUCAUAAUUCCUGAGUUCUCUAAUUACUUUUAUUUACAUUCAAGUUAUUUAUUAGAUUCCUGCUUGCAUCAAGUGCUCUAAUCUUUGAAACAUUAGAGUAGUAAUUAAUAGAUUAGACGUGGUGUUUAGUCUUGCAAUUACCUGGAAUUGCACCCAAUCCUGCGGAUUGUUGUGGUAGCCUUAGGGUAGUGACAGCCCUAACGGUCGACGUAUUCCACCUCGUUCGGAUCGGUGUUUGUAGGACCGUAGUCGGAGCUUCCUAGCCCCCUUCUCAUCUCUUUCUGUGGUUAGUGUUCUGAUGUCCUGAUAUAGAUAAUCUUGAAGUAUUUCUUGAUUCUUAGAUCAACUAGAGAACUCUCAGAAAACUUCCUCUCUUCCCUCCAAAAAUAAUCAUAUAGUUAUCCUUGGGCGAUCUUGGAUCUUAAUUAGUACACUCACGUUCCCUGUGGAAAAUCGAUACUGUGGAAUACUCCCGGGUGAAGGCUACAUCGGUAUCCGUGCGCUUGCGGAUUUUUUUGUUUGCGUUUAAAAUACCCAACAGUCAAUUACCUAGACUUGGAUCAAACUUUCUUUUUAUUUUAUUUAAAACUUAGGAUUACACAAAACUAUUUUAUAUUACUCAAAAGAAAAACUUUGUGUGGUUUCAUGAUUAUACCAUUUUUUUAUUUAUUUCUGAAUACUAGUAAAUAAAACCAAGAAAGAAAAGUAAUACUUAUCUAGAUACACGUGGGGUUGCCUGUAACAGAACCGUCCAAAUUAUUAGAGAUUAAGCCUAAUAGUGACCAUUUGCAGAGUCAAACCAUCGAGCUUAAACCCAUAUAAUCUCGGUAGUCCGUGAAAUCUCGAGGGAUUUCAAACCACAAUUCGUACAUACAGCCAAGAUCGUAAUAAGUUUAGCGGCCACCAUUCACAAUUACAUCCAGUUCACAACAUUCAUCAAUUACAUCAGAGUGCUUAAAAUUAUUACAAACCAAGUUCUCAAGUAGCGGAAGCUUCAUAGUUUGAAAGUAACACACACACAAAUUCAGUUCGAUACAGUGCCAUAGUUUGGUCAUUCCCGUAAAAGCAAAAGAGAAGAUAGAGUGACCAUCGCCCUUGGUCUAGUCAUCGCCCAUGGCUGGGUACAGGCACAGGAUGCAAUAACCAUAGUACAUUUGACCAUCUGCAAAACAACAUGGGAAUAGAUCCCUGAGUACGGGAAUGUACUCAGCUAGACUUAUCUGUCAUAAACCAAAAAUAAAGACUCUUCAAGGAUCAUGAGGACUGUAUAGUGGGGUAGCGGAGACUUUUUUGCAUAAAAGCAUUAUUCCCCUAAACAUAGUCUAGAGACCAUUCUUCUUUUAAUUAGCUCAAGUUUGAUAAUAUCAUUACCUAUUAUCUAGGUUUGCACCUGUACUAUUACAAGCAAGUGUAGUAAUAUGAUGGUACCUCGUCAUAGCAUUCAUAAAUCAUUUAUCAUCAUAACCCAAGUGUUCCAUAAUCCGUACUACGAGGAUAAAGCUCAUGUCAAGUGCUCACUAUCUAGGAGCGAUGGCGAUUCGAAUCGAUUUCGAACUAGCUGGCGAGUUAUUCCCCACACAAACCACACUCACUGAUCAAGUGAGCUACAGAUCACCGUGUUACACUAUCCAGGACCAAUUCGUAGAUUCGGCAGGCACCGCCAGUACCCGAGGACCGUUCCGGCGACCGAGGUAUCCAAGGUAUACCAAGGUUGCGCGUCGCGCCCUCGUCGUUCUCCUCAACCUUCACCAAUACAGCGCAUGGCGGCUUGACUCCCGGCUCGGAUAGUGUUCAGGCUUCGCGGUCGGAACGACUUAUCCUUCCAGCUAAGUGUGGGGCAUGCGUUCAACAUGACAAGAUAGCCGUCAACGAUCGGUCCUUAAUUGACACAGGCAGGGGCACUAUGAUCAACCCACUGUUGACGGUCCUUAAGUAUCAAAUUUAAUUAUCAAAUAAACAAAGAAAAGGAUCCAAAUGAAAUCAACGUCUAGACUUAGGGUUUUAUCUGACAGAAUUCCACGAGUUUUGGUGUUUGUCUAUUUCUGCAGGGGGUUAUUAGGAAAUAAGGAAGAAAGGCCCACAUGUCGGGAUUACAUAGAGAUAUCAACCCACCGCGCAAUUUUAUACCAUCUAGAAGACUCCAGAAGCCACGGGAAGGAAGCGGAGCCCGAAAGGGGCCAGGCCCAGGGCGCCCGCCCUGAGGACCUGGGCGCCCGCCCCCCUCUGGACUCCGUUCCGGACUCUCUUCGCACACGACGUUCCACCGACCUAUUGGAUCUAGAAUAACAUAGUACCACCUCGCCUAUCGACCCAAAAACGCAUAGAAGGGGAGGACUAUAUAAGGAGACCCCCUCUGGCCCCUGGAGGAGACAAGAAAUUAUCAUAGAGAUUGAGGGGUGCCCUCGAAGGAAAACCACUUCUCUAAAUAAUAAUUCUUUUUAGGCUUAGCAACCAAUGUAAAGUAGAAAUAGAUCUUCUAGUUUCUACUAGACUGAGAGAGAUAGAGUGGAGGUGUGGAUCGGAGGAAGACCGGCCUGUCGGUGUCUACUCCGAGUUGUACCUACGGGAUCAAGUCUCCUAACCCGAGGCUUGCUUCUAAGAUUCUUCAGUAAUUCGACUUCUAAUACUAGUAAGUUCUUGUUUUAUUGUUCUUUGGUUUAUGAGUUUACUUUAAUCCUCUUCCGGUUGAGUAUUAGAGUAAUCACUUGCUAGCGUAAACGUGGUGUUUAGGCUAGGGUACUCAUAGAUAUCCCCUGACUAGCUGGACCGUGGUAGUAGCGAGGAACUUGACAAUUCCGAGUUACCUUUGCAGAUCACAUCUCGUUAGCAGGACGGGUAGGGUUAUAGGUGCGGGUCGAACAUCCUUUGUGUUGUCUAGAUUCCGUGAGCCUCCCCAAUAGAACAUUAGAUCAUCCUUACCAAGGUUAGAACGAGACUACGGUUGCAAUCUUCUCUAUACAUCACUCACAUCGAGAGACAUUCUUUGUAGCCUAAAGGGGUAAUAGCAAUAGAUUUGGUUAGUCAGAUGCACCCUUUCUCCCAGUGGUAAAAAUAUAAAUACGAUAACUCUGGAUAACCUCCCGGGUGAAAUGCUCACCGAUAUCCGUGCGCUUGCGGAUCAUUUCCUUAUUGCGUUACCAAAUAUCAACAAGCAUUUCUGGCGCCGUUGCCGGGGAGAAAGACGGUUUGCUGAGAUAACUUUGAGUCUUGCUAUUAUCUUGUAUUAUACUUUUAUACUUUUAUCUUUUUAUUUUUAUCUUUAUGGAUAACUCAAAUUAUAUACCUAUUAUUAAAUUCUUUGCACCUUCGGAGACCAGCCAUAGACCAUGGGAGUCAACACGUCCUGCCCCUAAUUAUGAUCUGUGUCCGGAGUUGAUUGCAGUAGGUCAAAACCAACCCUUUUCUAUAGCCGAGGUCCUAUCUUUUAAUCAAGAAGAUAAUGCACUUUUAGCUACACCUAGGGAAUCUAUUAAUCUUUCUAUAAAUUCUUGUUUAGACCUAGCCCUACAAGACCAUGUUUUUCCUAGAUAUUUUCACAUUGGUCUUAAUCAUAUAACCUUUGGUAGAGUCCUUCUUUCUUUAUCUAUUAGUAAAGGAAGGUAUGUCUUCAUUCGUGGAUAUCCUUCUUGUACUAGUCUUCAUAGAAAAAUCUUAGAAAUAGAGAAGGAAUCAUCUCCCAGACGAGGAAAGGAAGUUUCAAUAGCCGAUUUCCAAACAUUUCAAUCCCAUAAUUCGGCUAUCCAUCCCAUCCUUGAGCUUAAUAAAUUCUACGAUGCUCUUUCUCUUAAACCUCCCGAUAAUCCUAUGAAUUUCUCUAGACAUCCCCUGCAUAAGAAGGAGGAUCGAGAAGAGCAACAUCAAUGGCUAGAGGGCAUUAAAAAUCCAUGUGCUAUCACCAUUGAAUGGAUAGAUAAAACAAACUUGAGAGACAAUCCUAGAGGAAUUUUAAGCAUUCAUGAAGAAUCAUCCUUGGAGUUUGAGAAUGAGCGAAACAACAGUGAGCAUGGAAGUUAUUUCAUCAAUACCUUACCAAGUCCUUGCUCAUAUAAAACAUCUCCCCAAUCAAUCGGUCUCUCCAUCAUCACCACAUUUGAGAUCUCCAACCCCCUCUUCCUUUCUAUUUAUAUAAACUUUAAAAGAGCGGUUGUCGAUGCAUAUGUCUAUAAUAAAUAUUGCAGAUCUCGAUAUAGGUCAGCGUUGGAGGGGAAACCACUUCACUGACAUAAAUUGAUGGUUUCCCAAAGCUUAGCGUCCUUAAACAAGCACUUAUCAGAUCAUAACAUGAACUUUUAAUUAUUUGCAACAUUGCCUUGUGUAUUGAGCAUAUUGAGAUAAUUAUAGAAAUAUUCCUUUGGGUAUUCUUGCCACUAACCUUUCCAGGAUUGAAGCAAGAAGAUCGGAUGAAUGACAAGCGCAAGGUAUGCCCAACCAAUCAUCAUGCAACAUUAAAUUAAAUUCAUCCAAACUUGAAUUUUGUAAAAUUCAAGCUUGGGGGAGUACUUUACAUAAAAACAUCUUUUGCCAUGUUGCUACGUUGGUUGUCCUUACCUUUGAGACAUGCUCAAUUUGUUAAAUACUAAUCACACUACUUCAUCUCCACUUAAGUAGAUCUUUAUAAGCCAUCAUGCUACCUUUGUUUAUCCUAGUAAGUGUUAGUUUGGAAGUACUGUACAUACUUCUAUUGGCUUUUAAAUUAUGCGUGGUGCUUAGGUUAAAUAGCCUCCCUUAAUCUGAUUAGACAUGGAGUCUAGUUUGGUUACUGAACUAAAAACUGCUUGAGUAGGCAUUGGUAUAUUGUGUCGGACUAGCCCCUACAGGAAAACAUUCAAUAUCAACUUGGGAAGUCCUGAGAUAAACUCACAUUGGAGAUGAAGAAAGUGACACAUGAAGUUUAACGAUUUGCACAAGGAAGACAUAGCUCAUUCAUCAUAAGAGAUGAUCCAUAGAGGGUGCCACAAACACGAUGCACAACCGCUACGAAAGGAAAGCUUCUACAAGGUGAUAUUGUACCGCCACUCUUCAAGUAAGGUAACAUUCUAAGGUACUUGACUAUCGCUUUUAUAAGUUUCUCCUUGGUCCUAGCAUUCACAUAAAUAAAGAGACAAACAUGUAUGAUUUGUAGCUCCAAAUUAAUCAACCCAAUUAAUUCAACAUGUUUAGUCCUUUAAUCUUUGUUCUUAGUACUACCUUCAUGAUCCCACACUCCUAAUCAUAUAAGCUAAUAUGUUGCACAUUCAAUCUUUGGAAGAUAUAAACAAAACAUAAAUAUAGAUAGAUUAUCUUUCCAUUAGGUUGAGCCAUCUGAUCUAACAAAUGUUUUAAAUGCUACACUCAUGAUCCAUCAACUUUGUCUUGCUCACUAUGCUUAAGGUCAGAGAAGAACAAAUACACUUUUGGUUCUGCUGGUGUUUUCCACCAACAGGGCCCAUGCACUUGAUCUCUGCCUUGUCUCUAUGAGCAGGACACAUUUUGAGAAUUGUGAAGGCGUUUUACAACUCCCAGAUUCCAUCAAGUGAAGAACCGGGAUCUACAAGCACAAACACAAUGGAGAUCAGGCGAUAACUUUUCCAAAAGGAAUAUUGAAGAACCUUUGUGUCCGAGUUGGUACCUUGUACGCUCCAGCAAACUUCGUGGUGAUAGAGACUGACACUAAGGAGAGGGCACCCAUCAUCUUAGGGAGACCAUUCCUAAACACCAGAAGUGUCAUCUACGCUAAUGCUGCCAAGAUCAGUCUCUACAUCAAGGGGAAGAAGGAGACUUUCCUUCAAGAACAAGACUACACAAACUUCAGUACAAUCCCGACAUGAACCAAGGAAGAGGACCAACAGGAGGAACAGGAUCAAGCAAAUGUGGACCGAGUCAGCUAAGAUGGUCACUGCAGCUCAAGGAGGUCAAGAUCGUCGACUCAAGUCACCUUUCUUGAUCAAGAAGGACGACCCUGGUGUUCCAAGAAUCGAAUGCACAAACAAUGGAUACUCUUUUUAGAAGACACUCUACGACACCGGAUCUGACGACAACAUAAUGGCCGCAGUCACUUAUCAGCUCCUGCAUAGAACCAUGCCCCUACAACCAAGAUACAUUCAGCUUCAAACAAUUUUCAGGUCAUUGACAUGGGAGAAGACGAGUAUGAUCCAUCCACCAUCCUUGGAAGACCAAUCCUCAGCACUAUCAAAGUCAUUAUCUAUAUUGGAACCGGAGAAAUCCACAUGCACUUCCCCUCUGAGAAGGUAUGCCACUACUUUAAUGAUUCUAACUAUAUAGUUGAAGAUUCUAAGCAGGUCAGGACAAGAAGAAGACAAACCGCAACCAGAGGAGGCAAAUCAGACAGAUGGGUAGACUACGAAGGAGAAGUGAUAAGGACUGAAGACAUACAACUUGAACAGAACUGUCCUGAGGAGACCGUAACACCGAGUCAGGUAUGGAAAAUGAAGAUAACUAUAAAUGAAGAGGAGGCGCUGCCGGAACCACCGACUACGCCACCCAGCAAAUCCCAGUACGACUAAGAAAACGGAGAGUCCCGUUCGGAUGACUUAAAAAUACCGAACGCCUUGCCAAGAGGUAAACUUGGUAGUUAUUCAUUUCCUUUCAAUUAUUCAAUUAUAGUUUGCUUAGUUAAUCAGGUUUAUGCUAUCUUGAAAAGAAAAUAAAAAUGCUAAAAAAAAUAGUAAGCCCCAUGUGAGUAUGCUCAUGGCAUAAAACCCAUAGGUACAUUGACUGUGGUGGCAUAAAAAUAAAAUAAAUAUUUUUCUGCUUUAUAAAAACAAGAAUAUAAAAACAGGGAGUAAUAUUUAUUAAGGAGUCUCAACAUGAUAAAGGCUAGAUAUUUAUGCUAACACUUAAUCAGUUCCACAAGCUUUGUUGUCUAUUUGAGCUCCACAGAAUUUAAGAAUCAAGAAGACUAGCAGACGGAGGACAUUCUAAUCGCUGUCAAAAUACUGCUGACUUUCAAACACACCUCUACCACCUGCUAGCUACAUCAAGAGAAAUUACGUCAAAAUCCAGCUAGGGGGAGAGCACCCCCAUUUAUCUCGCUAAGUAUUUCUACCUAUCUUUAUACUUAUAUUAUGUUAGAAUAUUAAAAUACAUAAACUAUGAAAACCCAAAUAAAGAUUUUGUGCUUUUAUAUAUAUCUUUGCUUAGUUUGCUAAAUAAAUAAAUAAAUAAAAUUUGCUGUGAACCCUCAUGAUAAGCUCUCUCAUGGAAAUGAUGAAUAAUUGCUCUGCCGUGACUAGUUCUUAAAAUUGAAAUCUCUCUCAAGUUUAGGCAUAACUGUUAUAAUUUAAAGCUUGCUCUAGACCUAAACUUGUGGGAUGAAAACUUGAUCUGAAGUCUAAGUUGUUAACGGAUACGAUAUGGGAAGGUUGAGCUGCUGUUUAUCUGUUCCUAGAGAUGCUAGAAUUCUGGAAAAUUUUAUCUUUGAAAAUCUUUAAAAUGUUGCAUGAUGAGUUCCCGUAUGAUGAGAGUUUAAAUUCCUACCACAGCCAUAUAUACAUGCUUGCUAGACCUUGAGCCACACAUUUACUAUUUACUGCUUAGGAGCUCUUGAGCCACACAUUUACUGCUGUGUAGACCCUUAGGAGCUUGUCAUGUGGUUAAAUCAAGAUUCACUUGCACGUUCACUCAUACAUGCUACUUCUACUCCGAAAGUACCAUCCACAUAUAUCCACUCAUUUCCAUCUUCAAAACCACCCAAAAGUAUUCUACUCCUAAUCCGGGAGAGAAUAACCAAAAAUAUUUCUGUUUCCCCUUGUGAAAUAAAUGCUCAAGUUAUCUUGUUACUACCACUUGCUAUAUUAUCUCAAGAGAUGAAUGCUCUAAAAAAAGAGAAAAAGAAAAUAAAAGAUACGGGGAAAUAAAAAGGAGCAAGUGCUCGGAACCUCGAAAGAAAAUAAAAAAAAGAAGAGCAUCUCAUUCUCCCCAUAAAGUUUCAAAAGCAAGGAAGGUAUGUAUCCCCUCAAAGAGCAAAGUAGAAUUAGACCUCCACCACCAUUGUUAUCACCAUCAUCACCAUACACCAUUCAUUCGCCACACAUGCACAUCUUGAUUUGGCUUAUUGAUUUGUUUCUUUGGAUCCAUGGUUUGACUAUGCAAUAAAUGUCUUGUAAGUAUGUAUACUUUAUCUCCCACCUAUGAGCUCCAGAUAUUAAAGCCUUAUUAGAGUAGGGUGAGAGAGUAGACAAUGACACUAUGCUUCAUACCACAAAUACUACAUAUUUUGAGAGAAGGCAUAUACCUUCACUGCCUUGGUAAGGAUCGAAAAAUACCACAAAAGAGAGACCUGAGAGAAUCAUACAUGGAAUUUCUGAAUUUUAUUUGAAAAUCUUCAAAAACCCCAGAGCUAUAGCUGAUCAAGAAUAAGAGACAUGGCACUUGGCUAGACUGUUCUAUCUUUUAACCACUCAAGACAGAAGUGACGGUUACAAGUCCUAUGGUGAAAGGUAAAAUGAGUAAGUUUUAAGUCUUAACAGUUUAUUCUAACUCAGAGAUGAGAUCUUGCUUAAAUGCGUGUGUACUUCUAAGAAAUGAAACUACUGCAGAAACUCUUGAGUUCAUCCUUGCUAAGGGACGAGCAAGAGGUAAGCUUGGGGGAGUUUGUUGACGGUCCUUAAGUAUCAAAUUUAAUUAUCAAGUAAACAAAGAAAAGGAUCCAAAUGAAAUCAACAUCUAGACUUAGGGUUUUAUCUGACAGAAUUCCACGAGUUUUGGUGUUUGUCUAUUUCUGCAGGGGGUUAUUAGGAAAUAAGGAAGAAAGGCCCACAUGUCGGGAUUACAUAGAGAUAUCAACCCACCGCGCAAUUUUCUACCAUCUAGAAGACUCCAGAAGCCACAGGAAGGAAGCGGAGCCCGAAAGGGGCCAGGCCCAGGGCGCCCGCCCUGAGGACCUGGGCGCCCGCCCCCCUCUGGACUCCGUUCCGGACUCUCUUCGCACACGACGUUCCACCGACCUAUUGGAUCCAGAAUAACAUAGUACCACCUCGCCUAUCGACCCAAAAACGCAUAGAAGGGGAGGACUAUAUAAGGAGACCCCCUCUGGCCCCUGGAGGAGACAAGAAAUUAUCAUAGAGAUUGAGGGGUGCCCUCGAAGGAAAACCUCUUCUCUAAAUAAUAUUUCUUUUUAGGCUUAGCAACCAAUGUAAAGUAGAUAUAGAUCUUCUAGUUUCUACUAGAUUGAGAGAGAUAGAGUGGAGGUGUGG
rnacentral:lncRNA from 1 species